AAGCCCCAGUAUCAAAGUCUAUCCCAUAAGGUAGGUAAUUAACUUUAGCUGGAGUGCUAAGGUAGUUAUUGUUUCCGUUAUCAAAGAGGGAAUCUCCGAAGACGAAGUAGCAAGGAACUUGAGGUACAGCCUUUCCAUAAGUCCAGUGUUGCCAGUUUGACACCAGCAACACCACGGACAACACCCACAAUGCCUUACGCCGACUUUCCAUUGACAAAUAAAAUGAAAGAAGGAAACAAAAACAGUAAAUAUAGAAAGAAGGAAGAAGUGCGUAGCUAGGGAAGAGUGCUUUGAAGUAGAACGAACCAGGCUUAUUUAUAGAGUGGAGAUCUAGCUAACCAGUGCAUCGUGUAAGCGUGUUCUGUUGUAAGCCACCUGUUUUUUUCAAUCUAAUUGUGUACUUUUUAUUCUCUCAACUCACUUUAAUCAUUUUUGCUUCUUUCCUGGUAGACUAGCUUACGAGCCUUUUUUAGCUUUCUUAAUGCAAUAAUUUUGAACGAAUUUUUCUUUUUAAAUUCUAUGAUCAAUAUAAGUUGUUGUUUUACUUUUUCAAACUUCUCUAUAGAAUCAAGAUCAGUAAUUGAAUAGGCUAUCACACUUUGUUCAAAUAGGCAAUUAGGUAUAUCUUUCUAAGUGGUUUUUUUUGUUUGUUUAUUUUCCAAAAAUAUUUUUAUCUUGAGGAAUAUCAACUAAAAUGAUGUAAAUAUAUGAAUAUUUGAUUUUAAAAAUGUUUUCUAUGGUUACAAUGUAUCACUUUCAAAAUUUACUUAAUACAUUCUUGCUCCAUUAUGACCAUAGUGCACUUUGCUUACAAAGUUUUUAAAUGAAAAUCAUAGCUUCUGUUGUAACCCAUUUUUGGGUCCCCAUAAAAUAUAUAUAAAAAUAUAUAGCCAAAGGAGGUUAGAAAAAUAACAGGAGGCAGAAGCGCUCAGAAAAUGGAUGGAAAAUUGGUCAAUGAGGUUAAAAAUACAAAGAUGGAAUUUUUGAUAAUAUAUUCUUGAAGGAGGAGAGCCCUGUUGACAAGGAAAAUUUGAAAUUUGAGGAGAAAAGCCCAAAUUUAGAUGUUUAUGGACUUAAUUGGAUUUUUAAAUGAAUUUAUAGGAGAUUUGAUUGGAAGAAAAAUUGAUUUUUAAGUCAAUUUGGGCUUUAAUUAGAAGAAAUUUAAGUUCUAGGGCCAAAAUAUAUUUUUUAGGAAUUUAUUAGGUCAAAUCAGGGGCUUAAUUGCAUAAAUAUUGAAGUUUAAGGGCCAAUUAGGGACUUAAUUAAGAAAAUUCGAAACCAGGGACCAAUUUGGAAGAGGCGCGUAAAUGGAGGGGCUGAAAUUAAUGGAUUCAGGGGCCUAAUUGAAGAAAUUAGAAGUUUUUGAUCAAUUAAGGGCUCAAUUGCAUAAUUCAGAGGCCAAGGACCAAAGUGAAAAACGCGGCCAAAUAUAGGGACGGGGUUCGAAUUCGGCAGGGAUGCAAUUGAAGACAAAAAAGAUGAUUGAGGGCUGAUUUGAAUUUUGGCGCGUUUUGGCGCCACAUUUAAAUGAAACGGCGCGUUUUAUCCAAAACGACGCCGUUUCAUACAUUGAAAAAAAAAAAAAAAAAAAAAAUAGGAAAAGAGCAGAACGGUGUCGUUUUGAACGACACUGUUCAUCUUCUUCCACCGAUCACGCAGCGGGGAAGAAGGAAGAAAGGUUGCUUUUUUUUGAAUUUUUGCCGGCCACUCUCGCCUGGAGCCCACCGACCGGACACAAUGGCCGACCACCCACCGCGCACCUGCCAGAAAACCGAGGGGGAGGGGGGCCGAGCCUUGGCAGUCGCGCCCCAUGGCCGACCGGCCGGUUGCUCCCCAUGCUCCACAGUACAAACCCACUCACUUGGCCCUAUAAAUAACAGCCAACACAGCAGCAAUGAAGGGGGGACGGGGGAAGACAGACGGAGAGGAGAACGGAGGAGAAGGAGAAAACAAAAGAAAAAAAAAACAGAGGAGAGAGAGAGGAAGAACCGAAAGAAGAGAGAAACCGAGGGAAGAAAAAAAGAAGACCAAAACAUAGGAAGAGGAAGGAAGAGUUGAAAACCGGAGGAAAACCAAACGGGGAGUGUCACGGGAAAACACUGAAAAAACAGAGCACCGCUGCCGCUGCCUGGAGCCGCCGUCCGUGAGCCCAGACGCCGCCACCAGCCUCCGCCAAAGCACCGCCAGCAACGACAGCGCCACCACCUCCUCCGCGCCAGGUAACCCUUCUUCCUCCCUUAUUCUGCCGUUUCGUUAUUUCCUUCUCUGCAUGCAGAACGAAUAGCGUUCUGCAUGCAGGGGCGGGGGGAAAUUAAUUCCCCCCGCCCGUUUUGUUGCUGGGCCAGGCGGGUCCUGGUCCAGCCCAGUCUUCUGGGCCGGGUCUGGCCCAGAAGAGAAUAUUUUUGGGCCGAGAUCGGCCCAAUACAUUUUUUUGGGCCGACCUCGGCCCAUCAUUGUUUCGGGCUGAGUCCGGCCCAGUGGUUUGGGCCGGCCCAGCCCGAUUUAAUAUUAUAUUUAUUAUAUAUAUAUAUAUUAUAUUUUGUAUUAUUUAUAUAUAUAUAUAUAUACAUGAAAAAAUUAUAAAAAUUAUGCAAAAAUUAUAGAAAAAUAUAUGUGAUUUUGUUGUAAUUUUAUUACUGUAUUUUGAUUAAUUUUGGUUGGUAUUUUAUACUGUAAAGAUACAAAUCCGGUAUUAACAUACCCGGUUUUCAUCAAAACAUCAAAGAUUUUCAAAAUAAAAAAUUUCUUUUGCUUUCAAAAAUUUUCUAAAAUAUCUUUGAAAAUAUUGUUGAUUUUUCUGCAUUUGCUUUAUAAAAGUGGAUUAAUAUUUGGUUGUAUAUUUUUUACAAACCCAGUAUUAAAAUACCCGAUUUGCGCCAAAGCGUACAAAAAUACAUAUUUAAAAAAUGUUUUGUUUUAAAAUACGGCCUAGUCUCUCCAAUAUAUAUAUAUAAAUAUUAUAACAUCAUAUUUUCACACAACAAAAGAAAUUUCAAAACAAUAUAUGUAUUAGCAUGCAUUUCGGCUUUAAUAACCAGUUUAUUCAAGCCAUGAGAACUAGGCCAAUAUUCCAAAAAUUCUAAAAAAUCUUUUUUGUCCUCUGUUAGUAUAUGGGAUUACGAAUUUAUACGUAAAACGUAUUCCUGAAAUUAAAAAUAUGUUUUUUUUACAUAGACGUUAGAACGGUUAGGUUUUACCCGAUAAGAUAAGGACCUCCUUAUUAAGGAGGACUUUUCUUGAACCAUAGACGGACCAACAACUAGGAAACACAACGAAAACACCUUAAAUUUUAUCAGACAAUUAAACGAUGCAGCUUACCUUAGGUAGGGCGUAUUUGGGGUGCUAAUACCUUCCCUUUACGCAACCAGUCCCCGUACCCGAUCUCUGAGACCAGUUAGGGUUCCUAGUGACCAAAAUACUAGGUGGCGACUCCCACACCAUUUUUCACUGCUAAGAGACAACGAAUUCCUUGUCUCCCUACAUUGACCAGAUAUAUAUCCCCCAUAUUACAUUUUUUGAGGGUGGACGAUCGCCGCGACGUCGCUCACGUGCGACAGAAUGGCGACUCCACUGGGGACCUUGUGGACUUAGCUUUGUUUUUGUCUGAUUUGUUUUUGUUUUUGUUUUCGUGUGUUUAUUGUUAAUAUGCCUUUCCUUUUGUUAUCCGCUUAUAUGCUUCAAAUAUUUUUACACAUAUUGUUCAUGCAUUUGUAUAGAACUGUCUCAUACAUCUUAUAGAACUGUCUCAUGCAUCACAUACUUUGAUUAUUGAGAAGCACACACAAGCUUUAAGUUAAGUGGGGGACUAGCAGCUUACCUUACGACUGUUAGUCAAGGUUUAAGUUUGUGUAAACCCCAACUCUUUGCUGAGUGCUUAGACUGGUAAUAGUUGGUACAUGUGACCAUCUCAUUGCCUACAAGCCCCCAUAUUGCCUCCACGAGGGCAAUCACUGGGACAGCAAGAGACCCUUUUUAGAGACUGAAUAGCCAACCUACCCUCGUCAAGCACAAAAGAAUUAGAACCGGCUAUAGGGUGUAUGCUCCAUAAAAUAUAUUUUUGCAUAAGACAAAACCUAACCAUAAGGCCUUUGGUUUUCAGGUCUUUUCAGCUCACAUUAUAUAUGCAUCAUGCAUUGUUCUUUAUCAUACAUACAUUCAUUUACAUUUUUUCCACGCACGCCAGACCGUGAAACAUAGGUCCCACAUCCAAAAUCCACAACACCCGGUCUCGAGCAAGAAUGGAGAACGAAGAAAGAGCUCACUUAGAGUCACAUUAUCAGACUGAGUUGGAGUCUGUGAAAAAUGAAGUUUCUCGACUGACCAAUCUGCUUGAGCAACUCUUAAGAGCCAAGAACGGGGAGGGAACAUCUACCCAACCACCUAUAGGAGCACCGUCAGUUCAUGUCCCGGGGGUAUCUCAGAACUUGGGGGCAGAUUCAGUGACGGGGCAGCAAUUUGCGCCUGCCAUUCCCAUUCAGCCCCCUCAAGCUCACAUCACUGUAGAGGGGCCUUCCGAUAAUAGGUCCACUGGAUUUAUGAACAAUGACAAGAUAUCAGCCUUGGAAGAAAGGUUAAGAGCGGUCGAGGGAAAUGACUGGUUUGACCCCAUACGAGCGUCUGAAAUAUGCUUGGUGCCAAACAUCACGGUACCAAAAGAUUUUAGGAUACCGGAGUUUAUAAGGUACACUGGGUUGGAAUGCCCAAACACUCACCUUCGAUCUUAUUGCAAUAAGAUGGCUGAGGCGAUUCAUGACGAUAAGUUACUGAUCUACUUUUUCCAAGACAGUCUGUCGGGGUCAGCGCUAAGUUGGUACAUGAGGCUGGAUAAUACCAGGAUUAAGAAAUGGAAGGAUUUAGUGGAGGCUUUCCUUAAGCAAUACAAGUUCAAUUUGGAAAUUGCUCCAGAUCGAACAAGUCUAAUGGCAAUGGAGAAAAGGAGCCAGGAGUCAGUAAGGGCUUAUGCGCAAAGGUGGAGGGAUGAGGCAAGGAAUGUCCAACCCCCUUUGAUAGAAACAGAGAUGGUAACCUUAUUUGCCAAUACCUUCAAAGCACCAUAUUAUGAGCACCUAAUGGGUAGCUCAUCUCAGCAUUUCUACGAUGCGGUACGCAUAGCUGAAAGAAUAGAGCAAGGGAUUAAGGCUGGACGUAUAGCUGAGCCAUUGGAGACGAAGGGUUUUAUUGGAAGAAAAAUGGAAGGUCAUAUUUACGACUUCGAAGGUGGGUCCAAGGGCAAGAUAGUGGAUUCACUUAACCCACAAAUACCUACCUCUCAUGUUGCCCACAUAAACUUUAACAAACCUUUUUCCUCCAAUCUAGCAAAUAACCAGUCAAACAACCAAAACAAUGACCAAAGACCAAACACAAGAUACAUUGCAGAACAACUACCGCCAUUACCCAUGCCUUUGAAGGAAAUGUAUGCCAAACUACUGAGCAUUGGACAAAUAGCUCCUAUCCCUACAUUACCACUACAACCACCAUUCCCCAUCUGGUAUAAGCCCGAGUUGACUUGCGAGUACCAUGCUGGUAUUCCCGGACAUUGUCUUGAAACGUGCUACGCUUUCAAGAGCAUGUUGUUGAAGCUCAUCAAGAUAGGAUGGGUGUCGUUUGAAGACACACCCAAUAUCAAUUCAAAUCUAUUGCCCAGUAAUGACAAAAGUAAUAGGGGAUAAAGGGUUGGAAAACCUUGGUCAAGAAUCGUCAAUAAUGAAGAAGGCGAAAUCGAAAGAGAAGACAAGGAAACGCAAAUGGGGAAGGAAGAUGAAGCAUUGCCUCGGUUGACUUUCCAGAACGGGUUGACCCAAGAACUUCUCGUAGUUUUCAAAAUGUAAAACAACUUUAUUUGCCUUAGCAUGUUUUUGUCAUUUGCUUUUGUCAUUACUUUUAUUUUCUCUAUUGGGCAGCCAGGGCUCAUGUUUUCAGCCAUAUUUUAUGUUUGUCUUUGACCUACCUUUUUUCAAUAAAUGAUGAGAUUAUGCACUUUUUGAACAAGUUUGAGUGGAUGUCAUAAAAUGGUUUAAUAUGAAAUUUAAGAAAAGCUAACCCUAAAGUACAUCCCUACCUCUGAUGAAUGAUUAAGUGGUCACUUUAUAAUCAUCUGUAAUAACAAUGUGCAUUUUGAAAAAGAACGAAAAAAAAAAAAAAAAAAUCAUCAUUAUCCCUUCACGCACUAAAAAAGUUUAUCAUUGGCUGAAUGAAUUUAUUCUCUAUAAAAGCCCAGACUAGGAUCACACCCCUACACUGGGGGCAAAACGAGUUGUUUUUGAAAAGUUUUACGUGUUUAAAAUUGGUUGGAAGCCCAUAAAUUUGAAAACCAAGCUAAAGCAUUUGACAAAAGCAUGACAAAGAGGCAAAUACAAGUCAUACAUUUUGAGAAAAGGACUACUUGAAGAAAGUCAAAGACUUCUUCUCAAAGAUAUGAUAGGCAGCACGAGAAAUGAAUCCAGCAUACGACUUCAAAAGCAAGCUCAUAUCAAGAGAGAGUUUCAUGAAAUAGAAGAAGAUGAUGGGGCCUAUGUUUCAAAACCAGGUAUGAAUGCAUGCAUGGCAUCUAAUCAUAAAUCAUUGCAUAUAUGUUUUUUUGGAUCGUUACAGGAGGAGACCUUAGUGCAUUCCAAACAAGAUUGUGGACGAAUCAUUGAGUUGAUUCUAGAACAACGAGAAGAGAAAUAUUAAUUUUCAAACCCUGCCAUCAGGAGGAACGACAUCGAGCAAUCGGUUAAAGGGAAUCGCCAGAUGGGAUUCCAGGUUGACCGAUUUACAAAAUAGAUUUUUUGGUUUUUGAUUAAAGAAGAUCGCCAGAAGGGAUCUUAUUAUUUCAGCUUCGAAAAAAGGAAUCGCCAGAUGGGAUUCCAAGUUGUUUGAGAUCGCCAGAAGGGAUCUCGUAUUUCGAUAUUGGUUAAAGGAGGUCGCCAGAAGGGACCUCAUAUUUCAUAUUGAAUAAAAGGAAUCGCCAGAUGGGAUUCCAAGUUGUUUGAGAUCGCCAGAAGGGAUCUCAUAUUUCGAUAUUGGUCAAAGGAGGUCGCCAGAAGAGACCUCGUAUUUCAGCUUUGAAUAAAAGGAAUCGCCAGAUGGGAUUCCAAGUUGUGAAGGUCGCCAGAUGGGAUCUCAUAUUUCAUGUUGGUUAAAAGGAAUCGCCGGAUUGGGAUUCCAAGUUGAUUAAAGGAGAUCGCCAGAAGGGAUCUCGUGUUUCGCUAUUUGGAGGUCGCUAGAUGGAACCUCGUGUUACAUGUUGGUUAAAAGGAAUCGUCAGAUGGGAUUCCAAGUUGUUUGGAUAAAGGAGAUCGCCAGAAGGGAUCUUGUAUUUCGAUGAAGGUCGCCAGAAGGAACUUCAUGUUUUAGCUUUAGUAAAAGGAAUUGCCCGAUGGGAUUCCAAGUUAUUUGAGAUCGCCAGAAAGGAUCUCGUACUUCGACAUUCAUCAAGGAAGGUCGCUAGAAGGGACCUCGUAUUGAAACUAUUUCUUAGAAAAGCAUGGAGUUUACUAAGAAUUCUUCCCCUGGGUAGGUCACCCAUUAUAAUGAGACCGCACUUCACAUUCUUUCCAUUUGGGUAGGUCACCCAUCAUAAUGAUUAUUUUUCCUGGGUUAGUCACCCAUACAAUGAGACCAUCUUUUUCCGGGGUUCGUCACCCAUACAAUGAGACCAUCAUUUUUCUUGGGUUCGUCACCCAUACAAUGAGACCAUCAUUUUUCUUGGUUAGUCACCCAUACAAUGAGACCAUCACUUUUCUUGGGUUCGUCACCCAUACAAUGAGACCAUCACUUUUCCUGGGUUAGUCACCCAUACAAUGAGACCAUCAUUUUUCCUGGGUUAGUCACCCAUACAAUGAGACCAUCACUUUUCUUGGGUUCGUCACCCAUACAAUGAGACCAGCAUUUUUCCUGGGUUAGUCACCCAUACAAUGAGACCAUCAUUUUUCCUGGGUUCGUCACCCAUACAAUGAGACCAUUGCAGGUCACCCGUCAUAAUGAGACCACACACGUGUUUUUGUAUUUGGUUAUGGGUAAAAGAAUCGCCAGAUGGGAUUCUAAGAUUUUUUGUUAAAGGAGAUCGUUAGAAGGGAUCUUGUAUUUCAAUAUUGGUUAAAAGAGGAAUUGCCAGACGGGAUUCCAAGUUGAGCAAGCAAUAAUUAUAGGUUUUGGUUUAGAAGAUCGCCAGAAGGGAUCUCAAGAUGAUAAAUUUUGAUCAUAGUUUUUGGGUUAAGGAGGAUUGCUGUAAGGACAAAGUUUCAGAGCAAUCGAGCUCCGACUAGAUCAGUUUCGGGAGCUCAGUUUUGGUUUAUCUUUAUAAAACUUACUGCGCAAAACCUCUGCUCCGUAAGCAUUAUAAAGAGGGGGCAUCUGUUGUAACCCAUUUUUGGGUCCCCAUAAAAUAUAUAUAAAAAUAUAUAGCCAAAGGAGGUUAGAAAAAUAACAGGAGGCAGAAGCGCUCAGAAAAUGGUUGGAAAAUUGGUCAAUGAGGUUAAAAAUACAAAGAUGGAAUUUUUGAUAAUAUAUUCUUGAAGGAGGAGAGCCCUGUUGACAAGGAAAAUUUGAAAUUUGAGGAGAAAAGCCCAAAUUUAGAUGUUUAUGGACUUAAUUGGAUUUUUAAAUGAAUUUAUAGGAGAUUUGAUUGGAAGAAAAAUUGAUUUUUAAGUCAAUUUGGGCUUUAAUUAGAAGAAAUUUAAGUUCUGGGGCCAAAAUAUAUUUUUUAGGAAUUUAUUAGGUCAAAUCAGGGGCUUAAUUGCAUAAAUAUUGAAGUUUAAGGGCCAAUUAGGGACUUAAUUAAGAAAAUUCGAAACCAGGGACCAAUUUGGAAGAGGCGCGUAAAUGGAGGGGCUGAAAUUAAUGGAUUCAGGGGCCUAAUUGAAGAAAUUAGAAGUUUUUGAUCAAUUAAGGGCUCAAUUGCAUAAUUCAGAGGCCAAGGACCAAAGUGAAAAACGCGGCCAAAUAUAGGGACGGGGUUCGAAUUCGGCAGGGAUGCAAUUGAAGACAAAAAAGAUGAUUGAGGGCUGAUUUGAAUUUUGGCGCGUUUUGGCGCCACAUUUAAAUGAAACGGCGCGUUUUAUCCAAAACGACGCCGUUUCAUACAUUGAAAAAAAAAAAAAAAAAAAAAAAUAGGAAAAGAGCAGAACGGUGUCGUUUUGAACGACACUGUUCAUCUUCUUCCACCGAUCACGCAGCGGGGAAGAAGGAAGAAAGGUUGCUUUUUUUUGAAUUUUUGCCGGCCACUCUCGCCUGGAGCCCACCGACCGGACACAAUGGCCGACCACCCACCGCGCACCUGCCAGAAAACCGAGGGGGAGGGGGGCCGAGCCUUGGCAGUCGCGCCCCAUGGCCGACCGGCCGGUUGCUCCCCAUGCUCCACAGUACAAACCCACUCACUUGGCCCUAUAAAUAACAGCCAACACAGCAGCAAUGAAGGGGGGACGGGGGAAGACAGACGGAGAGGAGAACGGAGGAGAAGGAGAAAACAAAAGAAAAAAAAAACAGAGGAGAGAGAGAGGAAGAACCGAAAGAAGAGAGAAACCGAGGGAAGAAAAAAAGAAGACCAAAACAUAGGAAGAGGAAGGAAGAGUUGAAAACCGGAGGAAAACCAAACGGGGAGUGUCACGGGAAAACACUGAAAAAACAGAGCACCGCUGCCGCUGCCUGGAGCCGCCGUCCGUGAGCCCAGACGCCGCCACCAGCCUCCGCCAAAGCACCGCCAGCAACGACAGCGCCACCACCUCCUCCGCGCCAGGUAACCCUUCUUCCUCCCGUAUUCUGCCGUUUCGUUAUUUCCUUCUCUGCAUGCAGAACGAAUAGCGUUCUGCAUGCAGGGGCGGGGGGAAAUUAAUUCCCCCCGCCCGUUUUGUUGCUGGGCCAGGCGGGUCCUGGCCCAGCCCAGUCUUCUGGGCCGGGUCUGGCCCAGAAGAGAAUAUUUUUGGGCCGAGAUCGGCCCAAUACAUUUUUUUGGGCCGACCUCGGCCCAUCAUUGUUUCGGGCUGAGUCCGGCCCAGUGGUUUGGGCCGGCCCAGCCCGAUUUAAUAUUAUAUUUAUUAUAUAUAUAUAUAUUAUAUUUUGUAUUAUUUAUAUAUAUAUAUAUAUAUACAUGAAAAAAUUAUAAACAUUAUGCAAAAAUUAUAGAAAAAUAUAUGUGAUUUUGUUGUAAUUUUAUUACUGUAUUUUGAUUAAUUUUGGUUGGUAUUUUAUACUGUAAAGAUACAAAUCCGGUAUUAACAUACCCGGUUUUCAUCAAAACAUCAAAGAUUUUCAAAAUAAAAAAUUUCUUUUGCUUUCAAAAAUUUUCUAAAAUAUCUUUGAAAAUAUUGUUGAUUUUUCUGCAUUUGCUUUAUAAAAGUGGAUUAAUAUUUGGUUGUAUAUUUUUUACAAACCCAGUAUUAAAAUACCCGAUUUGCGCCAAAGCGUACAAAAAUACAUAUUUAAAAAAUGUUUUGUUUUAAAAUACGGCCUAGUCUCUCCAAUAUAUAUAUAUAAAUAUUAUAACAUCAUAUUUUCACACAACAAAAGAAAUUUCAAAACAAUAUAUGUAUUAGCAUGCAUUUCGGCUUUAAUAACCAGUUUAUUCAAGCCAUGAGAACUAGGCCAAUAUUCCAAAAAUUCUAAAAAAUCUUUUUUGUCCUCUGUUAGUAUAUGGGAUUACGAAUUUAUACGUAAAACGUAUUCCUGAAAUUAAAAAUAUGUUUUUUUUACAUAGACGUUAGAACGGUUAGGUUUUACCCGAUAAGAUAAGGACCUCCUUAUUAAGGAGGACUUUUCUUGAACCAUAGACGGACCAACAACUAGGAAACACAACGAAAACACCUUAAAUUUUAUCAGACAAUUAAACGAUGCAGCUUACCUUAGGUAGGGCGUAUUUGGGGUGCUAAUACCUUCCCUUUACGCAACCAGUCCCCGUACCCGAUCUCUGAGACCAGUUAGGGUUCCUAGUGACCAAAAUACUAGGUGGCGACUCCCACACCAUUUUUCACUGCUAAGAGACAACGAAUUCCUUGUCUCCCUACAUUGACCAGAUAUAUAUCCCCCAUAUUACAUUUUUUGAGGGUGGACGAUCGCCGCGACGUCGCUCACGUGCGACAGCUUCUAUGCACUCCUCUAGAUCUUGGACUAUCCUAACCAAGUUAGUCAAUGUUACUUCUGGUUUUGUUCUAUAAAAAGGCUCUUGAAAAUAGUCUUGCAUCUCUUCCCGCUUAUUGAUGGAGUUAGAUGAGUGGGCAAAACAAUGUACAUAAUAUGCAUAAAGCCAAUCUCUAAAAAAUAGAGCUUGUAGUUUAAUUGUUCCAUGCACCAUGUAUAUUACUAGCACCAUCAUACCAUUGACCUUAUAUAUUAAAGAUAUGCAAAUUAUAUCAAGUGACACAUCAAGCAUUUUUUUUAUUAUGGUGUUGGUUUAAAUACUAUGUUUUUAAUCUGAUAUUUUGGAUGACGGUUUUACAAUUUCUUAUGGAGAGAUUUAGCUAGCAUUCAAUUUGCAACUGAUAUUUAGCAUGGGUUAUAAAUAAAGCAGUCCAACUAAAGUUCAAAUUUAUUAGUGUUGGUUAUUGGGUUAGGCCUGGUCCGCCCAUGAUGGAUAGGCCUGGUCCAAGUUAUUAGAGGAGUUAUUAAAGGAAGUAACCGCCUCCUCUAAUCAUAUAUAAAGGGACAUAACCCAUAUGGAUAAAUAUGAAGGUUUUUAUUUGUUGAAUAAUCAUUCUCUCUUUCUCUUCUCUCAUCUUGGACUCUCUGUAUUACUUUAACAAGAUUUAUAAAGACGUUCGUACUGUGAAAUAUCACUUUGGUUCUAGUAAUUGAAAUGACACUGAAGUAAUCGAUUCAAAAAUAAGAAAACGAAUUAUUACAAGUAAGUUUUCCUUUCCAAUCUACAUUGAUAACAGAGCCAUGGUUUUUAAUAUUUUUUUUAUGCAGUAUAUCUGUUAUUACAUGAACGAUAGAUGUAAAUUUUGUGUUAAAAGAAUACUUCCAUUGAGAAUUUUGAAUUUACAAAAUUUCAUGAAGUAAUUUAGUUAUGACUUUGUCUUUUCUAUAAUUAAUUAGAAAAGACAUUCUGCAUGGUAGUUGGAAACUGCCAUUUCCAUUUCCAUUUCCAAUUGACUGCAAUUGCAGUAGUUAAUUGGACUGUCAUUUGGCAAUUAAGUAACUACCAUUUGACAGUUGAAAAAAAAAACCUCGAAAGAACACAUCUUUUAAGAGAUGUGUAAUUGUCAUUCAGCAGUUAAUAUUUUCAUUUUCAAUUGACUACAAUCCCAGUAGUCAAUUGGAACUGCCAUUUGGCAGUUGAAAAAAAACCCGAAUGAACACAUCUUUUAAGAUAUGUGUAACUGCCAUUCGGCAGUUAAUAUAUAUUAACAUUAAGAAUAAUAUUAAGACAAUUAAUUUUUUUUUUUGUUAAUAUAAAUUGUCAAAUUGUGGUGCCAAUUUAUUUACUGUUAAAAUAAAUUUCUUAAUUUCUAUAUGUUUUUUUUUUAACAUAUAUGAUGAUGCAUGCUUUAAUUAAAUAUUAAGUAUAAUAUUUAUGUGCUUUUUGGAAUAUUUUGUUGUAGUGGAUAGAUAACAACAAAUUGAUCAUUUAUUGAGUUAUGCCUUUAAUUCUGUUCACAAAAUUCAAGAGCACAUUGAUUAUAUGUAUCAUUGGAUGAGUAGACUAGCUAUGAGUGGUGUUUAUGAAUUUUACAUGGAACAUCAAAUGUUAAUCAUUCUCAAUUCUCUGCCUGAGGAAUGGAUGUCAGUGCGAGUAUCGUUGGAAUUUAGGCUGGAAUCCUUAGAUUUCAACAAUCUGGCAGAUGAAAUGCUGCUUGAGAGGGAACGUCAGUAUACCGAAAAGGGUAUACAACGCACUGGAGGAAGCACAUGUCAUUUGGAUGCUGCUGCUAAAUUCAUUCCAUGGUUUGAAGAGAAUGAACUUGGAGGAGAUGGCUUUGAUGAAGUGGAUGAUGUAAUUGAAGACCCUACUUAUAUGCCUACAAUAUAAAAUAAAUCAUAAAUUUAUUAUUUUUAAUAUUGUAUUUUUUUUUGUAAUUGGUUGUUUAUUGUGAACUGUAUAUUUUAUGUAAUUUAACUUUUAAUUACAUUAUAUGCAUAUAUAUGAUAAUAUCUGCAACCUGAUUAAUGGGAGUUAAUAGUUGAAACUAAUAAUAUAAUUUUACACUCAUUUAAAUUUUCAAUAAUAAUUAGACCAUACAAAUGGAAAUUGAUUAAGUGUUUAACAUUCUUUUCAUUUCUAUUGUAAGUGUUAAAUUAUUAUUUGUUUAAUUUAGAAUAGAGUGGAAAAAUAUGUCAAUUAAAUUAUACUAGAUACUAAUAUUUGUAAUUGUUGUCAAUAACGCUUAAUAUGGCUGCAUCUAAGAGUAUUAUUAUUGAUUUGAACCAUGGAGACAAACUAAGUGAAAAGAAUUACGAUGUUUGGCAUCGUAAGAUUGAGUAUCUCCUCGAAGAGUAAGAAAUGCUGGAAACAAUCACACAACCUAUGGCUAAACCUGAGCAAGGAAACAAUGCUCAACACAGGCUUGAUAUGGAAGCAUAUCAAACCUAUAAAUGCAAGGAUCGUGUAGCUUGCAUUUUGAUGUUGAGCAACAUGAGAAAUGAUAUAAUGCUUCGUUUUGAAAGGCAUCGUUCAACUCAAUUUGUUUGGAACACAGUAAAGAUUCAGUAUGGAGGAACCUCCACUACUAGAUUUCGUCAGCUAACCCUCAAAUUCGAUGGUUAUAAGAAGCACCAAAAUCAAACAAUGAGGCAGCAUCUUACGGUCAUGUCUAACAUGAUCAAUGAAUUAAAAGGUGUUGGACAUGAGAUGACUGAUGAACAACAAGUCUACGCAGUUAUCCGCUCUUUGCCAAGCAAUUGGGAACACAUGUGUGUUAACCUUACCCACAAUGACAACAUCAAGACAUUUGAUGAUGUUGCUCGUCAUGUCGAGCUUGAAGAAGAUCGACUUCACGCUAAGAAGCCUAUAAACGAGGUUUUUAUAUCUAAGACUAAGAUGUGUGGAGCAUAUGGCUCUAAAUAUAAAAAGGGUAAGGCUAAAGGUCUCAAAUAUGGUGUUAUUACUCAUUUUUUUGAGCUCUACGUGCUAAUGGAGAUCGUGUGUAUCCCUUUUAAAUCGAAGGCAGGAGUUUAGUUCAAGGUUGCUAGAAAAUUGACAAAAGUAAAGAAGAAAGAAAUGUUUUUCGAACCCUGUUUCAGCUAGCUUCUACUCUCUUUAUCCUUCCUCUCUACUGCUGAAAUUGUCAGGAUUCUUAGGCUAAUUAGGAGUCUUUUGAUGCUAAAUUCAUUCCUUUUUUAUAUGAUCUUUAAGGUUGAAUAAAUCCCUCAGAAGUGGCACUAAAAAACCCGGUUCUGCUGCUGCCGCAAUUUGUUUGUUCCAAAUUAGGUCCGAUUCUGUUCUGUAAAACAAUUUUAUCUCACUUCGAAUCCUUCAUCAAAGUUGUAGUCCUGGACGCAUAGAUGAUUUUGGGCUUUCGAAUCCCUUGAUUUCGAUAUCAGGAACUCAAGAUAUUCAUGUUUGAAUAUCUGACGAGAAUUCUGCCGCGAGCAGGAUUCUGACCAGAGUUUCACUAAAAACUCUGCUUCCGUCAUGAUUUUUCUGAUUGUUAUUCUCAGGUUAUACUCUCAGUCAUAUUGGGAUGCUCGGCAUUCCUCAGUUUUUGAAUCAAAUCAGGAGACCAUUUUUUACCAACCAGAUUGCUGCCCGAUUCUGUUCUGUAAAACGAUUUUAUCUCAUCUUAAAUCCUUCGUGAAAGUUGUAGUCCUACAUGUGUAGAUGAAUUUGGGUUUUUGAAUCGCUUGAUUUCUAAAUCAAAAGCUCAAGAUAUUCAUGUUUGAAUAUGAAGUGAAAAUUCUGCCGCAAAAUUCUGCCGCAGGAAGGAUUUUGCCCCCCAAGUUUGCAGGACUGAAUUGAAAAGAACUGAAAUAAGGGAGUUAAUUGCAGAUAAAGAUUGGAAGAGCUCGGCUGGGUUUUGGGAAGAAAUAGAAAAAACAGGGAUAGGAUUAGAAAAUGACAGAAAUUCUGCCGCGAUGGGUUACAUUUCUGCUGCCUUUCUAAACGACACCGUCUAUGUAUUUUUUUAUUUCACUUCUUUAGCUAAACGGUGCCGUAUGAGAACAGCCCCAUCCUGAAUAGCAUGGUACUGUACCUCGUCUGCAUUCCCUUCCCUCCUCUGCAACCGUUUCCUGCUAGUUUUUGAAAUUGCUCGUCCUUGCAUCCCCUGCAAUCUGGCGUGUGCAGGACAGCACACCUCUUCACACCAUGUCCUUAGCUGCCAGUCAGGAUUUCACAAGGGAAACCGUUGCACCUCACUGUGCCAGCUGUGAAAGAAGACGCAAAGAGGAGCCUCAUCAUCAUCUAAGGGCUGGGAUUGUUUCCCUAAGACAUAGGGUGGAGAUGAGAGAAUGUGGGGGGUGGUCUUCAGUUCUUGCAUAUAUAACAGACUGCUUUGCAAGGAGAAAAGAGGAGGAGGAGAAAAGAGGGAGACAGGGAGAGUUUAAAUACAGAGAGAAAAGAGGGGAGGCGGAGAAGGAUAGAAAACAGAGAGCUAGCAUAAGGUUGAGUUUAGGAAAUCAAUUAGAACGAGAGAGGAUCAUCUCAGUCUAUCCUACAUUGCCAAGCAGGAGGUAAUAAAAUCUAAGGGUUUUUUUUAUACUCCUAACGGCAAAAAGAGGAAGGCUUUCUUCGGUCUUCAGAGGCAGCAAAGCAAAGGCUUUCCCAUCUGUCCAUACUUCAUCGUCUGCAAGCAAUAUCUGCAGGUAUGAGUCUCUGCCUUCCUUGUCAUAUGUAUAGUUGAUGUCUACUGUUUCCUCGUUGCAAAACCUAUUCCUGCUCUUAUUUUAGACAUUCGAGUUCUGUUGCAAGUGCACGCUUGUUGCCGUUUCUGCCAUGGCUGUGAGUUUAAAUGGGUGUGUAUGUUAACAUUGCGGCCUCCUUUCUUUCCCUUUUAUUCGGGACGCAUCGUGAGCCUUACAGUUUCCUCAUCAGUAUCCCUCUUCUUCCUCUGUCCGGUCUUUUUCUUUUUUUGUCUUAGAAUUAUGUAGGGAAGUGUUUUUGCUCCUAAGGGUUAUUUGUCCAGAGGAGAAAGCAAGAGCAGGAAGGAAAUUCCUUUUUACAUGAAGCAAUCAUGUUGACAGGGUCUUCCUGCAUAUGAGGUGAUACUUCGGCUGGGUUUUGGAGUAUGUUUUCCUUUUGUUCCUUUGCAAAUGAAUAGCUGGCCAUUUGAUUUACUGGCCCUGUUUUUUUUUUAGUGUCUUUGAUAUACAUUGUAUAAAGUCACUCUUUAAGUUCUUUCCUGUUUGUAUGAGACCACCGAUGCUGUGUCAGAGAUGAAAAAAAGGUCAUGCUAUGUUAGGCUUGGAGUGUAAAAGGCUGAUUUGGCUUCCCAGUUUCUAUGGCUGUGAGAGACCGUAGGUCUAAAGGAUUUCGUUAUCUCUGCCUUCCUUUGGUUUGAGUGUCUCUGGGCAACUGGAAUACUGCAUGGGAGUAGUUAUGGCUUAUAGGUGCAGAAGAGAGAAUAGAAAACGUGAGGGAGGGUCCUUUUAUUUACGGGGAUUUUGUAUUGGCAGGUUCUGGUUUUCAUGUUUUUUUUUGGUUCUUUUGUAAAAAAUAUUGUUUUUAGUCUCGGAAUUUAAUAUGUAUUCUUUCCUGCGGAAUUUAAUAUGCAUAGCAUUUGUUUAAAGAUAAGGAAAAGGACGGGUGGUGGGGCAGUUUCUCUUAUGGGUUUCAGAUUCAGAGCUUUGUUGUUUUUGGUAUCUGCGGAUUUGUGUUUUUUAGAGUAAUGGGCAGAUUUGUUUCGGACUUUAAAUUAAAGUCGAAAUGCUGGGUUUCUGUUGCUGGAUUUGAAUUGUUCCAAGCUUCCUGCGAAUUGGAAUACACAAGUGUAUAGUUUUUUUUUCAUUGUGAUAAUUGGUUUAAUUGCGUUGUUGGUGUUUUGAUAGAAAUAAAAAAAAAUUUAUUGUAUACGGCCAAUACCUUAACAUGUUCUUAACGUUUUUCUUAUAUAAAAAAAACAAAUAUUUGAAGUUUUUAAAAAUGUGUUUUCGCAUGGAUUUCUUAAACACAACACAAAAAUUAUUUUUUUGCAUCUUGGAUUUUACAACAUGUUUGUAAAUUCCAAAGGGUGUUGGCCAAUAUUCCAAAAAUAUAAAAAUCUUAUUUUUAGGAAUUCGUCUUUAUUCACUAUUAGUGUUUGGAUAAAGAAAUCCCAAAUGGGGUAAAUAUCCAAAAUAUUAUUAGGAAUAAUUUGUUAUUAUUCACUAUUAAUGUUUGGAUAAAGAAAUCCAAAAGAAGUUAAUAUCCAAAAUAUUAUUAGGAAUAAUUUGUUAUUAUUCACUACAAAUGUUUGGAUGAAGAAACCCCAAAGGGGUUAAUAUUCAAAAUAUUAUUGGGAAUAAUUCGUCAUUGUUCACUGUUAAUAUUUGGAUAAAGAAACCUCAAGUGAUAAAUAUCAAAAAUAUUUUUCUAGGAAUAACAAGUCAUUAUCCCUUAAUAAUAUAAGGGCAAAUAAACCUAUCAAAGGUAGAUGUCCAAAAUAUUGUUAAUAGGAAUACAACUUGUUUAUUUUUAACAUAAGGGCAGAUUUAUGCCUAAAAUUUUAUUUAGAACAAUUUAAUUGUGUAUCCUUGAAAGAAGCCUCAAUUAUAAUUGGGGACAUUUCAAAUUUUGAUUCCACAAUUUAUGAGUCAUGAAAAUAUGAAAUACUAAGGUAAAAAUGGGCUUUUAAAGCAACUUGAAUUUCCUUAGAUUUCUAACUUAGUUUUUUUUUUCUUUUCUCUUCCUUGCGAUUUACGAGUCGCGAAACACUUGAAAUACUAAGGGAAAAAUGAGCUCUUAAGCGCAUUGAAUCUCCUCAGAUUUCUAUCUUAGAUGUCUCUAAAUUCAUAAAUUCUAAAUUUAGUUCAAAUCAAGCAUGGACUUCAAGAGUUCUGCACCGUUUCUCUUUGGCACUCUAUAAACAUAUCUAAAGGUAUGAUUCAUAUUGGCCAAGGAUUCUUUCCCUUAAACUUUGAACCCAAGUUCGUACAUCAUAGCAGACUUAUUCUAGGGAACUGAUGGGACUAUAGAAUAUCAACACCAUAGCAAUUAUAGGCAAACCAAACACCAAGCAGCUUACCUUAGGUAGGGCGUACUAGGGGUGCUAAAACCUUCCCUUUACGCAACCAAUCCCUUACCUUAGAAUCUCUGAAAGACCAGUUAGGUUUUCUAGUGACCAUAAUACUAGGUGGCGACUCCCUUUUUCACAAAACAAAGACCCCGACAUCAAUCCCUGCUACCAGGAAGGGUCGCUGCGACGUCGAGCUCUCGAGAGGGUACGACAUAUGGCAAGAUAGGAAUAGAAGCAAGUAGUAGUUGACAUAAGCGCAAGCGUGGGAAACGCGGUGAUAAGAAAGACAAGAAUAUGAAUUGUUUCAAUUGUGGUAAACCUAGUCACUUUGCUCGUAAUUGCACUAAGCCAAAGGUAAUGUUUAACCACAAUCAUCCUUCUAACUUAUACGUUAGCAGUUGUUUAAUGCUUGUUGAAUCUAUUCUUUUUUGGACUAUAGACUUAGGAGCAACUGACCACAUAGCAAGGGAUCGAACAACCUUGGUGGAAUUCCAUCGAAUUCCAAAGGAUAGAUACAUAUACAUGGGGAAUAAUGUUGUCGCUGCUGUGCUUGGGAUUGGUGCCUGCAAACUGGAUUUGCGGGGCGGCCGCACACUUUAUCUUCAUGAUGUACUCUACGCUCCAGAAGUUCGACAGAAUCUUGUGUCUAUUCUUGCUUUACUCCAAUUAGGCUUUAAUAUUGCGUUUGUUGGUUGUUGCGUAAAAAUGCAUAUGGAUAAUAUUUUUUAUGGUUCUGGUUUUGUAUUAAAUGGUUUUAUGGUGUUAAACACCGUUAAUGUAUCUAUUAAUUAUGAUGCUUCAAGUUAUGUUGUUCAAAAUUCCAGCACUAUUAAUGAUAGUAAUAUCAUAACUUGGCAUGCUAGAUUAGGACAUAUUGGGCAAGAUCGAUUACAUAUGUCUCAGCCUGACAUCGCGGCGACCAAUUAAAAAUAAUCUCUUGAUUGGAAAAGGAACAUAUAUCUGACAUCUUGUUCUUUUAGGGAAAAAGGUCUUGUUCAAGGAGUCGCCACCUAGUAUUAUGGUCACUAGGAACCCUCACUGGUCAACAAAGAUUCUAUGAUAAGGAACUGGUUACGCAAAAGAGAAGAUGCUAUCACCCCUUAAGCGUCCUACCUAACGCAUGCUGCAUUGCUGGUUUUGUCUAAAAUUGCUAAGAAUUUGCUCUCCUUUUUCUCUUUUUUUAUUCUUCCUUUUAUGUUCCUGACUUUGGUGUCGGUGAACAAUUCCUACGAAUAUUUCCAACUCUGGCGUUGGGAAAUAUCGCACAAAUCCAAAAAAUAUGAUACUCCUGACUCUGGCGUCAGUGAAUAUUUUCGCAAAAGAUUAAUUUGAAGAAGAAAUUUUCUAUGUCAGUUUUUCUUGUUUAUCCUUUAUUAUUAUUUGCCCUUUCUAGAUGGAAGUAAAAAAAAAUAUUGCAUGACAUAUUUGCAUUUAACAGUAAUAGUCCACACAUUGAGCACAUCUACAAAAAAUACAAACACAGAAAAAAAUAAAACAAAGUGCGAGGUGCCCAUAAAUAAAUCAACAAAGGCCCCAAAUAUUUUUGGAAUUUUCUGUUAUCGAAAAGGGGUUUAUUUGGUCAAAUAUCAAAUUUGAAUGGGCAUAAAACAUUAUGGCCAAGACAUAAGGGUGUGUUUUGCCAAACACACCCUUAGCAAACACAAUUUGGGUCGGCUAGGCCUAAAGCUCAGACCCGACCCAUUCUUUUUUUUCUUUUUGGGCUGGAUCUAGCCCAGUCAUGCGUGAAAGGCUCACGCAUGCAUGCAACAUUAACCAGUUAAUUAUUUUAGCAAAGAAGGAAGGAAACUUACCUAGACGUGUGGCUGCUAGAGGCGAAGUCGAGGGAGACUAGGCUAAAAAAAAGGUUGCGGGGGGGCGGCGGCUGCUAGUAUAGGGUUCGCCGCCCCCUUUUUUUAUGUUUCUCUCUUUUAGGGUUUCUGGUAAUGGCCUCCUCUUAGGGUCUCUUCUUUUAAGGUUUCUCCUUAAUCGUCCCCCCUAAGACAUACACUGAGAUCAGUAUUGAUAGUGCAAGAGUCCCUUCGCUUGUGGGAAACCAAGUUUCAAUCAAACUCAUUCUCUUCUUUGAAGUUUGAAUUUGAUUAAGAAUCAAAUUUGAAAGCGGAUAACUAUCAUUAUCUUGAAGACAAAGAUUAUCUUGAAGAUAUGGAUUAUCUUGAAGAUAAAGAUAGAAUGACAAAAGCACAUUGUAGUCCUUAAUUUUCACGCAAGUUGACAAAUCACACUUUUCAUCGAAAUAAAUCUCUAAUCUUUUAAUUUUACAUUUUAAACCCUAUAAAAAUUAAAUUAAAAGCCCAUGGGCCAAAAUUGGGUUACAACAACAUAGAUUAGCAAAAGCUGGUCUUUUAGGAUCACUUACCAAAGAAGAAUUGCCCGUUCAUGAGCAUUGCCUUGUUGGAAAAACAACUAGAUUACCAUUAGGCAAAGCUAAAAGAGCUAGUAGUCCAUUACAGCUUAUUCAUUCAGGCAUUUGUGGCCCAAUGAAUGUGAGGGCAAGACAUGGAGGAAAUGAUUUCAUCACAUUUAUAGAUGAUUUUCACACGGUUUGAUCAUGUUUAUCUGAUCUCACGUAAGUUUGAAGCAUUGGAUUGCUUCAUUCAAUACAUAAAUCCGGUGGAGAAUAAACUAAGUACCAAGAUCAAAACUUUAAGAACUGAUCGAGGACGUGAAUAUCUAUCUGAACAAUUUAAAAAAUUUUGUGAAGAAAAGGGUAUAGCUAGACAACUAACUAUUCAUUAUACUCCACAACAAAAUGGUGUAGCAGAAAGGAAGAAUAGAACCCUAUUUGACAUGGUUAGGUCAAUAAUGGCGUAAGCUAACUUACAAAUUUCCUUUUGGGAAGAUGCAUUGUUAACUGCUGCUUAUAUACUUAAUCAUGUGCCCUCUAAAUCUGUCUCAUCCACCCCAUAUGAACUAUGGAAUGACGCCAAACCUAAUCUAGGUUAUUUCCAUCAAUGGGGGUGUGCAACUUAUAUUCACAAUACUUCUCAUGAAUAUGGGAAACUUGGUCCUAGGGGGAAGAAGUGUCUAUUUAUAUGAUAUUCUAAACAUUCUAAAGGAUUUGUAUUUAGUGGUGAAAAAGCUGAUGGAAAAGUGACGAAGAUUUAAUCGUGUGAUGUUGUAUUCUUAGAAAAGGUUUUUCCAAAGACAAGUGAGGUUGAAAAAGAUUUUCAAUUAUAUGAAAUGGAAAAUCUAGAUUAUGGCGUAACAGGUCAUUCAACAAAGGACUUGAUGAAAAUGUGAUAAAAAAUUUUGUGAAGAAAAGGGUACAGCUAGGCAGCUAACUAUUUCUUAUACUCCACAACAAAAUGGUGUAGCAGAAAAGAAGAAUAAAACCCUAUUUGACAUGGUUAGGUCAAUGAUGGCGCAAGCUAACUUACAAAUUUCCUUUUGGGGAGAUGCAUUGUUAACUGCUGCUUAUAUACUUAAUCGUGUGCCCUCUAAAUCUGUCUCAUCCACCUCAUAUGAACAAUGGAAUGGUGCCAAACCUAAUCUAGGUUAUUUCCAUCAAUAGGGGUGUGUAGCUUAUAUUCACAAUACUUCUCAUGAAUAUGGGAAACUUGGUCUUAGGGGGAAGAAGCUAAUGAAAGAGUGACGGAGAUUUAAUCGUGUGAUGUUGUAUUCUUAGAAAAGGUUUUUCCAAAGACAGGUGAGGUUGAAAAAGAUUUUCAAUUAUAUGAAAUGGAAAAUCUAGAUUAUGGCGCAACAAGCCAUUCAGUAGAGGACUUGAUGAAACUUUUAAUCCUCCUAGAAACAGUGGGAGUGAUAUUUUAUCUAUUCCUACUCUCAUGGAGCAAGAUCAUGAGCAAUCUCAACCUCGAAGAAGCAUUCGUGAACCAAUUCCUCGUCGUCGAUUUGAGAUUGAGGGGGAAGCGUUCAUGAUUGCUCCACAAGAUGAUGAAGAGCCUAAAACAUUCAGUCAUGCUCUAUCUAGUCCUAAAGCAAGAGAAUGGAUUAAAGCUAUGGAAGAAGAAAUGGAGUAAGUCUGGGACUUGGUUGAUUUACCGUCAGGACGAAGAUCCAUUGAAAAUAAAUGGGUUCUUAAAAUUAAACGUAAGGUGGAUGGAUCAAUAGAACGUUAUAAGGCUCGACUAGUAGUGAAAGGCUACACUCAAGAAGAGGGAAUUGAGUAUGAAGAUUCAUUCUCACCAAUUGUGAGGAUUACUUCAGUUCGCCUCAUUUUAGCUAUAGUCGCACAUAUGGACCUAGAGUUAUACCAAAUGGAUGUUAAAACUGCGUUUCUCAAUGGAGAACUAAAUGAUGAGAUCUAUAUGGAUCAACCUUUAGGAUUCGAGACUAAAGGACAAGAGCGCAAAGUUUGCAAGCUUAAAAGAUCCAUAUAUGGUCUUAAGCAAGCCUCUAGACAAUGGAACAUUAAGUUUCAUCAAGUCAUCCUUAAGGAUGGUUUUACAAUGAUGGAAGAAGAUCAUUGCGUGUAUUUAAAAUGUUCUAACAAUAGUUUUAUAAUAUUGCCCUUAUAUGUUGACGACAUCUUAAUAGCUGGAAAUAGCAAAGAGAUGAUUAAUACUACUAAAAUGUGGUUAUCUUCAAACUUUGAAAUGAAAGACAUAGGUGAGGCCAGCUAUGUUCUUGGUGUGAAAAUCAUAAGAGAUCGCGCUAAAAGGCUUUUGGGUUUAACUCAAGAGACUUACAUCAAAAAGAUGAUAGAGCGCUAUCACAACUCUUGAAAUACUGAAUCAUCAUUAUAGAUCUUUGGUAAUAAACGAUUCUCAUUAUCAUGCUCAAUACGGACAAGAUUGUUGUCAAUCAGAUGAACUAUUUCUCUCAAAGGUGGAGUUUGAAUACCUAGUACCUUAUCCCUGAAGGAGACUCUCCCUGGGCUUGGUGAAGAUACGAAACCAUUCACUAUAUCAGGUGGUUUCGUAGGAAUCCAAUCCUUCCCAGACAAAAUAUCAGCGAACUCCGCGUUCAUAUCUCCCCAGACAGGCUAGCUCUAUUCUUCUAUUCCAAGGAAUUAAAUUUCUCUAAAUGCAUUUUAAACUUAAGAAAAACCUUUAUUAGCUAUAUUACCUUAAAAGUUUUUUAAAGGAGUAUACUACCCUUACUAUUAGCACAACUUUUAUUUCCCUAUUUGUUUUCCACAUUUCAAGUAUUGUUAUACUUUACAUAUCCAAUCAUUUUGGAUUAGCUUAUCUUAAACACACACUUAAUGUAGAUAACUUAAUCCUAAAAAGUUGGUUUAGUGGCAAAGGAAGUUUGUUUUCUUUUUUUUAGUUAUUUUUUAAAUUCAAAUCUAAGGACUAGCAUCCAGAAAAAUUUAUUCGUCAAUUUUAUUUCCCUACAUGUUUUUCAGAAAAAUUAAUUAAUUACUUAAUUCUAGAGAGUUGGUUUAGUGGUUUUUUAAGUUGAGAUCUUAGACUAGCAUCCAGAAAAAUUUAUUCAUCAAAUACAUUAGAUUAAUAUGAGAGAUGCUUUGAGAUUUUUCAAAGAAAAAACUUAAUAUUGCUUAAUGUAAUAUUGGUCAGGGUAACUUGAUAUAAUAACUUAAAGUUGGAUUUAUCAUCACUUAUAACUUAAAUCACAUUUAAUGAAUUACAAUAGUUGGAUAAAAUAAAAACCAUAAUAUUUUUUUUGGGAAAGUCUAGUAAAUGAACAACCGGUGAAUUUAUAAAAUUAAAAAAUAUAUGUUUUUACUAAAUAAUGAAUAGGUAUUUAUUCUUUGUUAUAAAAUUGAACACUCUUUUAUACAGGGUGUUUAUUUUGCAUAAUAUUUUAUAAAAAAUAUAUUUUCUUGGUUUUCCAAUAAUUAUUUUUCAUAAAAUAUUUCAUGGUUAACUUUUAAAUUUAGUUCUUGUAAAUAUUUUCAGCUUAUGAGGUUUUUUAAAAUAUUUUAUAGAUAAUAAUUCAUUAUCAAUAUUAUCUAAUAAUACAAUUACUAUCAUCUCACUACAAUGACCUCUACUAACCCUUUACUUUUACCCUACCCGAGCCAUUAAUGCUACCGCAACUAUUGAUAUUAUUAUUUUAUAAUCUAAAUAUAUCAUAUCAUUUUACUACCACUAUAUUUUUAUCAUAUCAUUAUUUAUAAAAAAAAAAUUAUAAAAAUACUAUCCAUAUAAAAUGCUUUAUGAAGAACUAUUUUAUAUGUAAAAUAUUUUAUAUUCGUAAAAACAAUUAUCUGUUAUAUCAAACAUUUAAAGUCACAAUUACAUAAUUACAUUGAUAAAACAAAAUUCACAAUUGCAAAUUUAAUUUAUAUUAACUACUUGGAUAAAUGAUUUUUUCAUAUAUAAUUCAAAUAAAUUAAAACACCAAGUUAUCAGAAUAGCAGUAACAAGAUGAAAACAGUGCACACGUAGAAAAAAAAUGAUAAAAUACAUGAAGAGAGAGAACCAAAAUUAAAACACCAACAACUUUUCUAUUUGCAACCGAUUCAGCUUGAUUUGAAUACAUUACUCUGAUCAUGAUUGAAAAUAGUUAUUUCACAAUACAAAUUCCAAAACUAAUUUGUAUUUAAUUAUACGUAAUUAAAACGUAUUUUUUAAGGGAUUUAGAUUUUGAAGAAGAAAAUAUAUUUUUUAAAUUGAAGUGCCCAUUCCUUAUUUAAAAAAAAGUCAGAGUAAUUAAAAUAAAUAUUCAUAACAAUCUCAAUAGUUUAAGAAGGGAAAAAUUUAUUUCUUGGGGAAAAACUUUCAUUUCCUUAUUGUUUUUUUCUUACAAAAACAUGUCGUUUUAGGAGCAUAUUUUUUAAAAUAAUAACUUAUUCUAAUCUAAAAAGCAAGUUUCAAACAAAAACAAAAAUAAAAAAACUCAUGUCUUCAUGAUUGAAUAUUCAUAUACAAUUUUUUAAAUUCUGUUUUAAAAAAAAUCAUAACAAGAAUCUUAUAUUUUCUUGCUUAUUUUCAUUACCCAAUCAAACAUUAAAAAAUGAUUUUCUACUCAUUUUUUUAUGAUAUAUUUAAAUAUCAAAAAAUAAUUUAUUUUCUUGAAAAUAUUUUUUUAUAUAUAAAAAAUUCAUCUUCCGAAACUUAAUGUACGAUUUAAGCAAAUAAAAGAGACAGGUAAAAACAUGAUUUUUCAAAAAUGGUUGUUAUGUGAUAUAAUUAUAAACUCUCAUUAGUACAUUUUAUAAUGUGAUAAAAUGGUUUGCAUACAUGAUUAAGGAAUUAAGUAAUUGUUAUUGUCUUCUUGAGGCGAAUUCCCUUCUAGCAGGCAUCAUUAUGAAUUCAUUAAUUAAAAUCAUAACAACUUUCGGAAUGCGUAAAUGCAAAUUUUAUUGGAAUUAUAUUGUGAAAGGCUAUGAAAAGACAUUAAAAAUGUCUUUCAAUUGUUCUUACAGUCACAAUAUCUUAUUCUCUGACUGCUUAUUAGACAAUCGUCUUCACCAUCAGAGAUGGGCAUGUUUGAUAUCGUAAGCAUCAGAAUCAUCAAGCUUCAGCUUAACUAGUUCGCUGAUAUCAUAUGGAUAAGCGUCCUUUGGUGACUGACGUUUAUAUGCUCUUUUUCCGAAGGCCCAAGCUUUAGCUUCAGUAAAAUGGGCUCCAUCCCAGUACACAUAGUCACUCCUGUUGCUACAUGGGAAGGAGAGAGAUUUACAUGGGACUGAACCAGAUUCUACAUCGCAACAGCUCUUACGGGUUUGUGUAAAACCUGCAAGCAAGAAAAAAUAACAUGGGCAUCAGAGGCGUAACAAAAAAGUCGCCUUCAACCGUGAGAGAAAGAGAGCAAGGGAGGGAGGGGAUUCGUACCUGUAUUUGUCUGAUCAUCAGAAUCAAUUUCGUAAGAGUUUAUGUAGGUAAACACAGCAUCAGAAUGCCUAUUAUUAAGUUUUCUGAGUAGUUUUCGAAGCUUGUCGUUGAAAAUUUGAACAUCAUCAUUGAGCUUGUAUGCACAUGAAGAUGCAUCUAGUUCAUUGGGAUUUUUUUGUAUGUUGGACGGCAUACAUCCUACCCGAAUAAGUCCGAACACAGCUAUCUUUCUUGCUCCUGAGCAAUACAGUUUCUGGCAGCAAGGGAAAAAAAACGGAAUGAAGUGGGGCUCUUUGUUAGUAUCCAAUCACGUCAAACAUUAAUUGCUGUUUUACAAGAGACAUUAAGUAGGGCUGACCUCCAGCUGAGUUUCAUAAGUUUCAAUGAGAAGUUGAGCAUAUUCUUCAGGAGUAUAUAGCUUGCUGCUAUUGUAGUCGUCCAAGAAAUAAUUGUUGAGGUAGUCGUUAUGACCCAUAUCAGACACAUAGAUGCAUUGGCUUAAGUACUUCCUAGCAACUUCCUCGCUUCCCAAGAUCUUGGCAAUUCGUGAAACCGUGAUAUUGUGAUUAUAUAACUGAAUAUUCAUGGUAAAUAGUUCUCCCUUCACAUUCACAAAAGAAUCAUAUGAAUAGUUAGCGUUGCCAAAGCAUACAAGAUUCAUAGUACUGAAUAGUAUAAGGUUUUAGUUAUGAGAGCCAUAUGAUCAGCAAUCACCGUAAGAUAGCCAGUUAAAUCAAGGAUGCCAGCUCCAUUCGAUCCAUAAUUUACACCAUCUAGAAAAUUGGUGCAACCUCCGACACCAAAGUCCGAAAUGUAACUGUCGAAACCUAAUUGUUCAGCUGAAACAAAAAAUAAUAAUAAUUAAGAUCUUCAUAAUAGAGUAUAAAAACAAUAACAAUGAUCACAGCUAUCUAAUUGUAAUUUAAUAAAACGGUCACAACUAUCUUUUAUUUUCCAUUAAAGAAAACUAAAACACUAUAUUUAAUUUGUAAUAUAAGGGAGGAGAGCAAACUGCAGACCAAUGGUGUCAGCUAUGUUGAGACCGUUGCUGCACCUUCCUGAAGCCCCAGUAUCAAAGUCGAUCCCAUAAGGAAGGUAAUUAACUUUAGCUGGAGUGCUAAGGUAGUUAUUGUUUCCGUUAUCAAAGAGGGAAUCUCCAAAGACGAAGUAGCAAGGAACUUGAGGUACGGCCUUUCCAUAAGUCCAGUGUUGCCAGUUUGACACCAGCAACACCACAGACAACACCCACAAUACCUUAAGCCCACUUUCCAUUGACAAAUAAAACGAAAGAAGGAAACAAAAACAGCAAAUAUAGAAAGAAGGAAGAAGUGCGUAGCUAGGGAAGAGUGCUUUGAAGUAGAACGAACCAGGCCCUAUUUAUAGAGUGGAGAUCUAGCUAUCAGCUUGUAAAUGUGUUGUUCCAUUGUAAGCCACGUGUUUUUUUCAAUCUAAUUAGUUUACAAUGCCUUAUAGAUCUGAUUUUUUAAUUCAACGUAACAGUAAGUAUCCUUGAAUCUUGUCACUUAUAGUAUUUCCUCCUAAUAGUUAGAAUUGUGUGGUUUCUUUGGAGUUUGCUUUCUGCUCCUUCUAACAUCAAUUAUCUCAUACAUUUCAUACAUUCUCUUGAUAUCAAAUGAGUAAUUGUUUCUUAAUGCUUUCUUAAUGCAAUAAUUUUGAACGAUUUUUCUUUUUGAGUUCUAUGAUCAAUAAGUUGUUGUUGUUUCACUUUUUCAAACUUCUCUUAAGAAUCAAGAUCAGUAAUUGAAUAGGCAAUUACACUUUCUUCAAAUAGCCAACUAGAUACAUCCUUCCUUCUAAAUGGUUUUUUUGCUUGUUUAUUUUUCAAAAAUAUUUUUGUAUUGAGUAACACAUCAUCUAAAAUGAUGUAAAUAUCUUAACACUUGAUUUUAAAAAUGUUUUCUACAGUUCUAAUGUAUCACUUUUAAAAUUAACUUGAUACAUUCUUGCUUUGUUUUUAUGGCUAUAAUGCACUUUGUUUACAAGGUAUUAAAAUGAAAGCCAUAGCUCCUAUAUAUCUUAGACUAUCCUAGACAACUUUUGGUUAUGUUUUACAAAGCAUCUUUUCCUAUUUAUUGAUGGAGACAAAGUAAUGUAUAUAAUAUGUAUAAAGACAAUUUAAAAAAUAGAGCUUAUAAUUUGUUCUAUACACCAUGUUUAUUAUUAGCAUUAUUAUAUUCUUGAUCUCGUAUAUUGAUAAUAUACAAGUUAUAUCAAGCGAGUAUAUUAAAAAAAAAAUUUAUGGUGUUGGUUUAAAUAUUGUGUCUGUUAAUUUAAUAUUUUGGAUGAUGGUUUAACAAAUAUUUUUUUAGAGAGAUUUAGCAUUCAAUUUGCAAUUGCAAUCAAUAGCUAUAAAUAAAGCAGUCCAACUAAAAUUCAAAUUUAUUAGUUGCUAAAAUCUAAUUUCUAUUAGAAGUUUCCGUUCUUAUUAUUGUUGUGUGCAGAUCUGAUUGUCCUUUUGAUUAACCAAGUAAGGAAUGAUAGAUUUAUUAUAUAAUUAAAAUGCAGAUUAAAUUCAACAGAACCAUAUGACAUUCAAUUCCAGCUUCUUUUAAAUUAAUAAGUCAUAAUAUAAUGAUUAAGUUCCUAUAUUAACAAUAAAAGAAGGUAGAUAGGCUUCUGGUUUAGGCCUUGUUUAGAACUUUUUUUAUGGGAUAUUUUUUUAUGCUUACCCUUUUAUACAAAAAAAUUAUAAAAAAACAAAAAAAUAAAAAUGUGGUUUUGUAUGUGCAUAUGACCACAUCCUAAAUAAAAAUGUUUGUGCAUUUUUAACAAAAAAAUAUAAAAAUAAAAAUGAUUUUUUUAUGUUUCAAAAAUACAAAAAUAAAUUUGUGUUUUCUUGUAUUUGUGGAUUUAUUAUAAUCAUUGAUGAAUUUACAUACUGAUAGUUUUUUUUCAUGGUACAUUAAUCAAUAAUUAUAUUAACAAUGAAAUAAAAAUUACCUACAAUAUAUAUUUGGAUGAUAUUUCUCAUUUGUUGUUAUGUUAGUAAGUGUACUUUUGAUGGAAUCAGGAACACCGAUAAAAUCAAGCUUUAAAUCAAUCAGUAUAUUCAUUGUAUAUUAGAGCUACGACGUCUUGCUACACUGCGAACACACUACCAAAAUCUUAAUUCGAAAAAAAAUAAUAUAAGACGUUCAAUACAAAGGAAAAAGGGCUAUUUUUAAGAUAAAUUUUAUUCAUUGGCUGUGGACGCAUUAUUAUAAGUGGCGUUUAUCAAUCACAUAUAGCGCGAUAAGGCGCCAGGGGCCACAUAUUAGGAUCUCCAUGUUUUAGAAUAUUCGCGUAUUAAAAUAUCUUUGGCACUGCUUGAUUUCUUAUCCCAUUUGCCUUGCAGUUUUCCAUUUCUCUUUCCAUAUUGAAGACAUUAAUUCUCCAUAUUUCCAAGAAUUAUAGUCCGGUUUUUUUUAUUAGAAACAUAUCGAAUCAAUCUUCACACAUUUUAAAUUUUUUUUCCACUACAAAAAAUAAAAACACAUUAGAAACAUCUAAAUGUUUUUUUAUUACAUUCAAGAAAAGAUUUAUCUAAUCCGUAACGAAGCGCAGACUAAUAAUUUAGUAUUAAGUAUGAUACAAAAAAGAAAAAAAAAUCACUAAGUAUAUUUGAUGGAUCAUGAUUUCUAUAAACCAACCUCAUUUAAAAGCCAACACAUGAAAUUCACAACCUAAAAUGAGAUUAUGUCUUUCUCGGCGUCCAACUCUAAGUUGGGCAGGGGUAUGACUGCGCCCAACUCCCUGGUGGGCAGAGGCAUGUUCGCGCCCAACCAUAGGUUGGGCAAGGAACGCGUCUGCGCCCGACCCCAUGAUUAGGCCAGGGUACAUUCACCCCCGACCCUACGUUGGACAAGGGCGCGUCCUCGCCUAACCCCAUGUUGGGCUCCAUUUUGGGCUUGGACAUGUCCGCGGCCAACCACAUAUUGGGCAAGGGACGCGUCCACGCCCAAUUUCAUGUUGAGCAUGUACAUGUCUGCGCCCAACCCUAUGUUGGGUGAGGGACGUGACCACACCAUAACUCCAUAUUGGGCUAUGGCACGAUCAUCCCUUACCAUUCUUGAGUGCAGUCACGAGAAGGACCCGACUCCUCCCGGGCUCAGGGUGUGAGUUGAACCCAACGUCCCUCAUGUUGAGUAUGCAAUUAAAGGGUCAUUCCACACUGAGCCUCCCAUACCCAAAGUUUGGGUUAAUAAUUAUAAUGUCCAUCAUAAUCCUAUUAAAUACGAACAAGCAGUCAAUGCUUACAUUAAUUAGAUGUGAUGGUACGAGCAAUAAGAUAAUAUUAUCUUAAUCAUAUGAGAUUACUUUUCUACCCCUCCUACAUUGCAUGAAACAAGUCAAGUCAGGUAAUAUAAAAAAGGGCAUGAAUAUGCAAAAAGGGGUUCGAAAACCUUAUACUCUAGGACAAAAACACGUUCUCUGCUUCUUCUUCUUUAAUUCUACAUCUUCUUCCCUUUCCUCUUCUAUGUCUUCAUAAAAGCUCAUUAAUAUCUUUAUUAAUAUCAUUUUUUACACAAAUAUUCAUAGUACUGACUUGAUCUUCGGAGGGUCCCCUAUAAACACCCUAGGGGACUUUGUGUAGGCAUUUAUUCAGGAUGAGAUUCACACCUCAUAAGGAGAUCCAUUAAAGAAGAAGUCAAUGAAUUCAUGAAGGGAAGAUCGUAGAACACACUGAAUGAUGUGCAAGAAUUUCUAUGAAUAAUUCAUCCCAGAAUAUUCCCUGUGAUUUUUAUAACGUCAUCAGUUGGCGUCGUCUGUGGGACCCUUACAAAAAGCUAAUUACUUCUCCAGCAAGAAACUAAGCUUUGGCGUACGGUUCCAUCUAUUACACCACCAUGGCAGAUCCAUACAAUCAGGGUGUAUCAUAAAAGCCAACAUUGUUGUUGGCAUGUCUGCCCAACCUCAGAUUGAUAAGAUGGUUGAGCAGAUAUGUUUGCUCUCUAAAGAGGUCAUCAGAUUGAGAGGACAACUCACGGUUCAUCCUCAACCAGCUCAUGAUAUCCCAACACAUGUCUUACAACCUCAGCCACAAAGAACCCCUGUAGCCUGGAGACGCCUCAGCUAUGCAGAGGGAUAUGCGCAGAAUGAGGAGGAACCACCCAGAUGUCAUUCUUGUAGCCCAACUCGAGAACGUUCACAUCAUCCCACAGUACCAGUGAGAAGUGAACAUUCCCGUAAAGUUUAAACUAGCCACCGUGGGAGAGAAGAGAGUCGUCACUCCCGCUGUUCCAUGCUAAAUUCAUCCAGUUCAUCUGGCUCACAUUGGGAACGACCUAGAAGAAAGGCCGAGGAGAACUCACGGCAUCACCAACUUACCCACCAAUAUCAGGUGGAAGGCUUCCCAAGUCCAAAAGAGUUCUAGAAGCCAAGGUGCCCAAGGAAUAUCUAUCAGCGAAGAUGAACCUGGAUAGCUACGAUGGACUUACAGAUCCCCGAAAGCACAUCCAGGAUAUAAGGGGGAGCCUUGAGCUGGUCAUCCAUGACAAUGACGUCAUGUGCAAGAUAUUGCCCACUACCUUCAGAGGGAACAUGAGGACAUGGUACAACAAUUUGAAGUCGGGGUCGAUCCUAAGCUUUCAGGAUCUAUAUGUUAAGCUGGUAACACGUUUCAGCACUAGCAUCCCCACGAAGAAAAGCUCCAUUGAACUAUUUGGAAUUAUCCAAGGCGAGAAACAGUCCACCCAAGCAUAUCUGAGGAGAUUUAAUAAAGAAAUGCUUUGGGUGGAAGACCUACUAAAGCCCAUAGGUUGUGAGGCUUUGAUCAAAGGGGUCAGAAGUGAAGAAUUGUGGAAACAACUCCACUAGCUACAGAACAGAACUCUCUUGAGGGUGAAGCAUAUGAUUAAGAGUCACAUAAGAGUAAAGGAAGCCUUGACUGCUCGUAGAAGCUCCACUCAGGUCUAUAGAGGAGGGAUCAGUAACAAACCCUCCAGCAAGAACCGUUCCCAUGUCAGACAAUAUGAGGUUAAGAAGAAAAAACCCUUCAGGGAACAUCCCAGCAGGCCCGAAAGGGUCUAUACCCCCUGUAAAUACCAGUUACAUGGAGAUCUACAUGGCUUUGAGAGGUCAAAACUUGCUUUAGUAUCCUCCUCCUUUAAAGCCUAACCCUAGCCUAAAGUUCUCCAAGAAGUACUGCCAGUUUCAUAGGGAGAAAGGACAUGACACCGAGGAUUGUUAUGCUCUAAAAAAAGAGGUAGAGAGACUCUUGGCAUAAAGAUACCUUAGAUAGUUCUUAAAAAAGGAUCCAUCUUUGGACAGGAAGGGAGGUGAAGUGAGACAACAAGGACCAACACUCCCAAAGGUCCUUAUCAUACUAAGGGGCUCAUUAACCAAUGUAGGCGUCAUUAGCAAUAAGAAGACAAGGUUGGGAGAUCAAGUUCUAGUUACAAUGGGUCAAGAAAGUUCUUGGCAUGAACCCAUCACCUUCACCCUUGCUGAUGGACAAGGGAUUAAACACCCGUAUAAAGAUGCCUUGGUGAUUUCCAUGGUCGUGGAGGGUUACAAGGUCCACAGGAUCCUAAUAGAUGAUGGUAGCUCAGUGAACAUCCUAUCAGCAAAGACCAUGACAAAUAUAGGCAUAGAUGCCUCUAGAAUAGCUCUAGUGCCAACACCCCUUAUCAGGAUAGAAAGAUCAGCAGUGCCUAUGAAGGGGGCAGUAGAGUUGACUGUUAUUGUGGGGACUGUAACUUGUUGUGUUACUAUCCAACAGACCUUCAUGGUCCAUUGUUGUAACCCAAUUUUAGCCCGUUGGCUUUUGAUUUAAUUUUACAGGGUUUAAAAUGUAAAAUUAAAAGAUCAGAGAUUUAUUUCGAUAAAAAGUGUGAUUUGUCAUCUUACAUGAAAACUAGGGACUACAGUGUGCUUUUGUCAUUCUAUCCCUAUCUUUAAGAUAAUCCUUAUCUUCAAGAUAAUGAUAGUUAUCCGCUUUCAAAUUUGAUUCUUAAUCAAAUUCAAACUUCAAAGAAGAGAAUGAGUUUCAUUGAAACUUUGUUUCUACACGCGAUGAGACUCUUGCACUAUAAAUAUAGAUCUCAGUGUAUGUAAAAAAAGAGGAGAGGAAAACCUAAAAAAAGAGAGCAAAAAAAAAGAGAAUAUAGGAGAGAAUUAACUUGGAGAUAGAACCAAAAAAGAAAAAAAAAGCAAAGAAAGACGAGAGAAAGAUCAAGCAAAAAAAAAACAGAGAGGAGCAGGAGCAAAAAGGCGUUGUCCACAGUCGGUGUUACUUUCAGUCUUCGCCUCUAGCAGCGCUCGUAAACAAGAAGGCAAGCCUCCCUCACUCUCCCUUCUUGACCUCCACACACUGCCCCCCCAUGGCCUCUCAUUCUUCUCUUCCACCAUAGUCCAGCAACCUCCCUAAAGACCAACCAAACCGGCAACAACAGCAGCCCCUCUUAGUAGCAACAAUUAGGGGUGUUCACGGUUCGGUUCGGUUCGGUUUUGACUAAAAAAACCAACCGAACCGAAUUUCAAUAUUUUAGAGAAAUAUUAACCGAACCGGAUCGGAAACCGGUUCAAACCGAGCCAGUCCGGUUCGGUUAAAUCUGGUUUUUUUUGGAAAAAACCGGGAAACCUAAUCCCUUCAUUAAAUCCGGUUUUUUUUUUUUGAAAAAAACCAGGAAACCAAAUCCUUUCAUUUAUGGGUUUUUUUUUCGGUUUUUUUAAAAUUAACUUAGCCUUACAGUAAAUUGAGUUUUAAAAUUUAUAGAAACCUGAAUUAAUUCACAGCUUGGUUGACUUCCAUAAACAGGAAUUCCCUACUGAACACUUAUCUUUCAAAUUUUCAAUAUGCAUGCAAUGUGGAAGUGCCAUCUGCAAGCCUUUCUUCUCCUGGUCACUCCGAACUUUUCUUCUCCUUUCAGCCUUACAGGUUAAGGCAUAUGCAGACAACUUCAAAUUCAAGGGGCAUCCCAAGAUUGAUGACAAAUAAAUUUAUUUUUCAUGUCUUGUUUCCUGGUUUAUAAGCCUGAAGUUGUUCAAAUGGUUUACACUUACAGGCAGUGAGCUAUACUGAGAAAAUCAUAUAUCCAAGGAAUGUAAACCAUUGAAUUCUUCACAUGAAUUUAGACAUGAAUUCAAUCUGACAGAUACAAUGCAAUAAAUCAAUUUCAAUAUGCAAGAUGCAUGAUCAAAUUUUAACACCUCAAAUUAAAAGUUUGUUCGCACUAGAAAAGUUAACAUUAACAAGCGAAUACAUUAGCAACCAGCAAUAAAUUAUCAUAAACAUCCGGCAUAGUUUGAAGAAAAAAACACAGCAACACCAGCAUCCAAAAAUUCCAGCAACAGAAGCAUGGGCAUCCAAAAAUUCCAGUAAGGAUAAUGCUAUAAAAAAAACACUAGCAAAUUAGCAACAUAUUAGAGUUCAACUAUUGAAAGAAUUAAAUUAAGUAUGCAAAAUGUUAAGGGGAAUUAACAAAGUAAAGUAAAUUAAUUACCCAGAACAAUUAUAUUCCAAAAUUGCACCAAGCCACCAAUACUGCUUACAAACAAUCAGUUGAGAUUUUUAAACUUUCACCAAAUUCUACAAAAACAUAAAUUAAAAAGUUAGAUUAAACAUAUGUAAAUAAAUGAUAUUAUAAAAUAACUAUAUUUAAAUUUGUAAAAGAAAUUACCUGACUCAAUCAUCUCAGAAUUUUCAAUAUAAUCCAUGUAGUUGCUGAUGUUGAUUGGAAUUGAUGUUAAACUCAACCAAUUCUGACAACAAACCAGUGCUUGCACUGUCGAUGGAGAUAAAGAGCUUCGAAAUGGAUCUAAAAUACGACCACCAGUACUGAAAGCUACUUCAGAAACAACUGUAGAUACCGGAAUAGCUAACACGUGUUAUGCCACCUUAGAAAGAAUCUUGUAUUUUGUAACAUUACACCUCCACCAACCCAAAAUAUCUAAUUUAAAAUCAUUAGGAUCCUCACAAUCAUCACCUAAAUACCUCUCAACCUCAUUUUUUUUUUGUACACCGCCUUCUUCCUCUAAAUGUUUUUUGAAUUGAGAAGCUAAAUCAUCCAAUAUAUCAUCAUUUACCACCAUUAAAUCAACAUUAACAUUUUCAUUUAUACUAGUUCCAACACCAUGAACAACCUCAACAUUCUCAUCAACAUUCAUAUAAUGCUCAAACAACUUUAGCAAAGUAUCUUUAACCUUAAUUGUAAAAUUUUCAGCCUCUUCAACAUCAUACAAUCUUCCAAAACAAAAUCUCACAUACUUCAAUUUGAAACGUGGAUCUAACACAACAGCCACAUACAACAAAAAGUUUUGUGUAUCUUGAUCCCCCCAAUAUUUUUUAUACUUUGCCAUCAUAUUCUUUGCCAUUUUACUUACAUAAACAUCUUCACUUCUACAAAGUUGAGAUAUGCUUGUAUGCAUGGAAAUCAAUUCAUGAAAGAAAGAAUUAGAUGUCACAUACAACGAGCCAGAAAAUUUCAAUGUAACCGUGUAAAAUAGUUUCAAGAACUUGACAAAAGAUCUAGCCUUUUCCCAAUCUUCUAAAGCAGGAGGACCUAAGUUUUUUUGUUUUCCUUUUGAAUCAACCUCAAAGUAACUCAAAUACCUAGGAUCGGUUUCUUCUAACCUCAUAAAAACCACAUCAAAUUUAUCAGCUGCAUCUAGCAUCAUAUAUGUAGAGUUCCAUUUAGUUGCAACAUCCAAGCAAACAGAUUUUUUACUCCCAAUUUUCAACCUCUCUGCACAUUGGUUAAAAACAAGUUGUCUAGAAGGAGAAGAUCUAACAAACUUCACUGCAUUCCUAAUCUUAACAACUGAAUCAUCAAUAUCUUUCAAUCCCACACAUACAAUAAGAUUAACAAUAUGUGCACAACAUCUAACAUGCAUGAAGUCAUUUGACAAUAUAUUAGUUGUCCAAUUACUUGUUACUCUCUUCAAAUAUUUUAUUGUCAAAUUAUUUGAACUUGCAUUGUCAACUGUAACUGUUAAAAUGUUAUCAAUUCCCCAUUCCAACAAACAACUCUCAAUUGCUUGGCCAAUUGUUUCACCUUUAUGAUUAGAAACUUGACAAAAGUUUAGAAUUCUUUUAUUCAAGUUCCAACCUUUAUCAAUCCAAUGGGCAGUCAAACACAUAUAAUUAAUAUUUUGGAUUGAUGUCCAAGUAUCGGUUGUUAAACAUACACGUUGAUCCUUAAGAGCUUUCUUUAAUUUUUCCUUCUCAACAACAUAAAUUUUUAAACAAUCUCUCCAAAUCGUCAAACGAGAAGGAACAUCAAAUCUAGGUUGCAUUACUCGACAAAAUGAUUUAAAUCCUUGGUUUUCAACAAAGUUAAAAGGUAGCUCAUCAAGUAUAAUCAUUUUUCCUAGGGCUUUCCUACACUCUUCAUAACUAUAACCCACCGCCUUAAUAGUCACCAGAUUUCCCUCUUCACUAUUACCCCCUUUUAUUAUAGGCCUAGGUUGUAAGACUAAAGUUUUUUGUUUUCGGUCAAUCACAAAAGGAAACUUUUUGCAUACACCUAGAUAACUCCACAUGUUACUAGUCCCAUAAAGUAUAGUAUGGCAUGCAUAGUCUUUUCCACAAUACAUACAUGCAGCCGUAGGAGCCUUAUCAUUACCAUCUAAUUUUUUAAAGUGAUCCCAAAUCUGAGAUGUUUUUCUUUUAUUAGAUCUAGAAGCUGGAUUACCUUCACUUUCAGUGUUGCUAUUUGUACUAGAAGUAGCAACUAGAACUGGAACUGGAAAAGAAUUGGGUUCUGAACUUGAAGGAUUUGAUUCAAUUGGUGUAAGAUCUUCCCGAUUAUCCAUCUGAAAUUAAAACAGAUUAUAAAAUAAUGAAAAAAACAUUAUUUGCCUGUGCAGCUAUUAAUGAACUGAAAGUGUGUUUUGUGAUCUAAAAAAAUUAAUUGAGAUAGAUGCCUUGUAUAUUUGCCUGUGCAGCUAUUAAUAAACUAGUUCUAUUUGUUAGUCUCUUUAAAAUUGUGUGUAGAAUUUAUCAAACAUGUCUAUAUUUAACCUGAUAGGCAAAUAUUGUCCUCUGAUCUCGUUCAGGAUCAACCUCAGGCUCCACUGCUUCUUCCUUUCUUUCUUUAUAUCUUCUGCAAGACAAUGGAAAUUAAAAUUAUUGAUCUUAUUUAUAUAACCAAUUAACCAGUAUCAAACAAUGAGGAAAACAGCCAGGAACUAAAACAUUCAUAAAGAAAAUGCAAAUAUAAUGCUAAUUUAUCCUUCAAAAGAAAGGAUGUUUUUUUCUUAUAUUUGCUUUAUCAUCAUUAAAGAAAAGGUAGAAAACAAUCCAAAACAUUAUAAAAAAUGUCUCCAAUACAAGUUAAAACGCCGAACCUACGAAACAUAGUCCUGCAGGCAACUGGACAACAUUAACAUGAGAGGACCCGUGAAUGUCUGUUGAAAUUAAGACAUCUUCAUCUUAAAAUUAACAAGAACCAACCUGAGGACCAAUGUUGCAAAUUGCAACUAAGAGAAUUGAACUACAAAACCCAAUUUCAAGUGAUGAAUUAAUAAAUUUGCACUUUCGAUAAAAACAUAAUCUUAAAUGGAAACAAUAUCAUCAAGUUGUAUCAAUGGCAAUACCAAUGGACCUAUAUGCAUUAAUAUGACCUGUUAACAACUUAAUAGAGUUAAAUUUGUAUAUCCCAAAAAGAAACCAUCAGCAGAAGGCAGGAAAUAAGCACUCAGAAGCUAAUAUCACUCCCCAGUCCCCACAGUUCUACUACCAGUCCCGUAGAUUAUAGAAAAAUACAUGCAGAAGGAAACUGAAACCUCACGAAGUUAAGAUUAUCAUCAUACAGUUUUUUGGAACUUCUAUAUCUAACAAUAUAAACAAAUGAGAAGCAGAGGUCAGAGAAGCAUCAAAGUUUGAAACAAAAAGUUGAACUUAUAAGCAGUUAAGCACACGAAGAUAAACUUACCAAUGGAGGAGCCCUGUCGUUCUGCUGCAAGUGAAGAGAGAAGCCAAGAGGUUUUCUUCGGGCUAGAGAAGAGACAGAUGCAGGGGGCAAGACAGAUGCAGAAGGGAGAAGAGGAAGGAUGAAAAUUGAAGGUGAAGGGCAAGGCAGAUGCAGAAGGGAGAAGACGACAAAUCAUCUUUAGCUCUUUGCUCUUUGGUGUGGACGGCGGCUUCAGUUCAGAUUUCAGAAUGUCAAUUAGACAAUUAGGGUUAGGCUUACUGAGUUACUGUGGUAUUUAUACUACCGGUUCGGUUCACCGGUUUAAGUGGUCAAACCGAAACCGAACCGAACCGGCAAGAUUUUAUGGUUUUAAAAUCGGUUUAAUCGGUUUUCUAUCUCGGUUCGGUUUUCUCGGUUAAUUUUUUAUCGGUUUUCUCGGUUUUUUCGGUUAAUCGGUUUUUUUGAACACCCCUAGCAACAAUAAGGUUUGGUUACUUACAGUCACGGGAACGAUGGAGUCUUUAUCAUUCGGGCUAAAAAUAGCAGCUCCCUUAUUGUCACUGCACCAUUACCAGCUCCAGCAGCAGUCCAGCAAACAAUACUGCGCACCUCCUCUAGCUCCAUCAAUAUCCAGCAGCCAACACUGUGCACCGUGAGCAUGCACCAGCCUUAGCAGCAACAACCUUCUCUUCUUAGUAGAGAGAGGAAAAGUAUAGAAAAACACAAAGGAGAGUAGCGGUGGCACAAGAUGAGAAGAAACAAAGGAAAGAGUUCCUUUCCGGCCAGUAGCCUCACGCCUAGAUCACCAUCGCCCUCGACUUACAGCAACCAGGUAACUUCUUCUUCUUUCUGUUUUGCUAGAUUAAUUAGUUUGUUACUGUUACAUGCAUGCGUGAAUUACUCACGCAUACAUGCAACAAUGCUUUUUUUUUCUUUUUUUUUUACCGGAACACAAAAAAAAAAACAACAAAAAUAUAUAUAUAUAUAUAUAUAUAUAUAUAUAUAUAUAUAAUAGUUUCUUUUUCUUGUAAUAUAAAUUUUACGGAUUUAUUCACUGGCGCAAAAGUCAGGAAUACCAUACUUUGUUGGUUGCACAAUAUUUACCAACAUCAGAGUUAGAAAUAUUCAUAGGUGAAUAUUCACUGACACCAGAGUUGGGAAUAUUAUAGGAUGACCAUAAGAAUGGAACACAAACAAACCUUUAGCAAUUUAAGAUAAAACUAACAAUGCAGCUUGCCUCAGGUAGGACGCUUAAGGGGUGAUAAUAUCUUCCCUUUCGCGUAACCAGUCCCGUACCAUAGAAUCUCUGUUGACCAGUUAGGGUUCCUAGUGAUCAUAAUACUAGGUGGCGACUCCUUGAACAAGACCUUUUCCUCUAAAAGAACAGGAUGCCAGAUAUUUCUUUGUUUUCCAAUCUCGUGAAAAUUUUUUAAUUGAUCGCCGCGAUGUCCAGGUGUGACAGUCAUUAACAUCCAUCUCCCAUACAAUGCCAUCAUCGGGAGGCCAUUGCUCUAUCAUAUCAGUGCAGUGGUCAGCACCAAGUAUUUGACCAUUAAGUUCCCAACAGUUAAAGGGGUAACUGCAGUGAGGGGGAACUAGGAAGCCUCAAGAAAAUGUGCAAACACCUCUCUAAAGGGCAAGAAGACCCUACUGGUCGAUCACCUACAAGACCUACAAGGCUCUGAUCUUCCUCAUGCGUGGCACUCAGACCACUUUAAGUUAUAUCCUUGUUGAAUACAUAAAUAUCUAAUGCAUAUUUUUAUCACUUAUGUUUUCACUUAAUUUUUACGUUCCUUUUUUAGGAAUACUUCUUACCAAUCCAAUCAGGGUUACACACCCCUGUGGCAUUCAGGACCCACUUCUCUAGGACAGUAGUGAAGUCCUAAGUAAGCAUCAACCUCUACUGUCACCAAUCGGGGUUACACACCCAUGUGGCGUCUGGGACCCACUUUUCUGAGGUAGUAGUAAGGGAUCAAUGCUUCACUCUUCAGGAUGGCUUUUAACGCCCCCUCAAUUCCUUUUGUCUAGCCAUUUUAGUUAGAAGUAAACGCAUUGGAGUGGCCUUAUCAGGUCCAUCAUGUCUGUCCAAAUGAGCUACAUAUCUCUCCUAGACAACAUGAGACUAGUCUCUAUGACAUUUAAGAGUGUUGGGACGACCUUAUCAGUCUUACACCAUCUAUCCACUCCAGGUUACACACCCUAUGUGCGGUAUAGAAUUUACAUCUCUCCUGGAUAGUAUAGGUACCAACUUCUAUGACAUCAAGUAGUGCUAAAACCAGCUCUCCUACAACAGCACCUCCUACUAGUCCAAACAGGGUUAUACACCCCGUGGUGUCUACGACCCAGUUCUCCAGGGUAGUAGUGAUUGUCCAAUGCUUCUAAAAAAAAAGGACUGGGAAUACAUCUUAAAGAUUCAAACAACAAACUCUCCGAGAACACAAUCCCUGCUAGUAAUGCUAAAACCAGCUCUCCUACAACAGCACCUCCUACUGGUCCAAACAGGGUUAUACACCCUAUGGUGUCUACGACCUAGUUCUCCAGGGCAGUAGUGAUUGUCCAAUGCUUCUAAAAAAAAAAGACUGGGAAUACAUCUUGAAGAUUCAAACAACAAACUCUCCGAGAACACAAUCCCUACUAGUAAUGCUGUGAAAAGAGGGAGUAUAAAGGACAUCUUAAUCAGGAUUACGACUCAACUAAGGUUAGUAAAAAAUCUCUUUAGCCUUAAGUCUCCCCAUUUCUCCAAAAAUGAGCAGACUUAGGGGGCUACUGAUGGGUCAUUAUUUCUAUAAACCAACCCCAUUUAAAAGCCAAAACACAAAAGUCACUACCCAAAAUGAUAUUAUGUCUUUCUCUACGUCCAACUCUAAGUUGGGUAAAGGCAUGUCCGCACCCAACCUCAUGUUAGGCCAGGGACGCGCUUGCGCCUAACUUUAUGUUGGGCCUGGAUGCGUCUGCGCCUGCACCCCACUCCAUGUUGGGCUAGGGACGCGCCUGCACCCCACUCCAUGUUGGGCAUGGACACGUCCUCGCCCAACCCCACGUGGGGCAAGGGACGCACCCACGCCUAAUUCCAUGUUGAGCCUAGACGUGUCCGCGCCCAAACCCAUGUUAGGUUAAGGACGCGACCACGCCCAACUCCACGUUGGGCUGUGGCACGGACAUCCCUAACCAUUCUUGGGUGCAGUCACAAGCUGAACCCAACUCCUCUUGGGCUCCGGCUGUAAGUUGAACCCAAAGUCCCUCAGGUUGAGUGCACGACUGAAGGGUCAUUCUACACUGAACCUCCCAUACCCUGAGUCUGGGUUAAUAAUUAUGAUGUCCAUCAUAAUCCUAUUAAAUACGAACAAGCAAUCCAUGCUUAUAUUAAUUAGAUGUGAUGGUACGAGCAAUAAGAUAAUAUUAUCUUACUCAUACGGGAUUACUUUUCUACCCCUCCUAUAUUGCAUGAAACAAGAUAAGUCAGGUAAUAUAAAAGAGGGCAGGAAUAUGCAGAAAAGGGUUCGAAAACCUUAUACUCUGGGACAAAAACACCUUCUCUGCUUCUUCUUCUUUAAUUCUACAUAUUCUUCCCCUUCCUCUUCUCAGUCUUCAUAAAAGCUCAUUAAUAUCUUUAUUAAUGUUGUUUUUUACACAAAUAUUCCUAAUACUGACUUGAUCUUCGGAGGGUUCCCCAUCCACACUUCUAGGGGACUUUAUGUAGAUAUUUAUUCAGGAAGAGAUUCACACCCCCUGAAGAGAUCCAUUAAAGAAAAGUCAAUGCAGUCUUAAUUAAAAGGAAGAUUGUAGAUCACACUGUGAAUAAUGUACAAGAAUUUCUAGAAAUAAUUGAUCCUAGAAUAUUUCCUGUAAUUCUUUGUAACUUGUAACGUCAUCACGUUUAAUUGUGUAUUAUCCUUAUAUUAGAGCUACGACGUCGACGUCUUGCUACACUACGAUCACAACCAAAAUCAUAAUUCGAAAAAAAAAAUAUAAAAUAUAAAGCGAUCAAUACAAAGGAGAAAGGGCCAUGGAAUUUGAUAUUUUUAUUAUUAUUCCUUAAGAGAAAUUUUAUUCAUUGGCUGUAGGCGCAUAAUUAUAAGUGGCGUUUAUCAAUCAUUUAUAAGGCGUCGGGGCCCACAUGAAACACACCAUGCUAAAAUCUCUUGGAACGAACUUAUCAAUCAUUUAUAACGCGAAAAGGAUUUGACGCCCACAUGAAGGGUCGUCGAUUUUUGUGUGCAGAAUUUCAUGAAUAUGUCUUGAGAAUUUUGAUGAGAGAGGGUUAAAUAACAAAUUUUUUUAAUAUUUAAUCAUUAUUGUACCCCACAUAUUUUUCAAUUGUUGCUAUAUCACUAUUUAAUGCAUCUUUUUAACCCUUCUUUUUUCUUAUAUCUUAAUUUAAAUUAUUCUUGUAAAUGUUUCGAUUUUCUAUAAAUGCACCUCUAAAAUCAUAUCAUUUUUUAAAAAUAGUAUGCCAAUAAUACUAAAUACAUAAAAUUUGAAAUUAAAUGCUUAACUUCUUUCAUUUUUUUUAUCUUAAAUAAUUGUCACAAGAAAUUUAUAGAAACAAGAAAGUAAUUUUUUAAAAACGAAUUAGUUUAGAUGUCAAUAAUAUGUUUAAAACCUAAUUAUAAAAGUGGUAUUUUUUUUAUUUUUUUCCAACGGUAUAGAUUUAAAGACAAAUAGCUUACUAGUUCUGGCAUUGAUUUCAUGUGUGAUGACGAUAACUACUAUGAGUUUUCAGAUGGCAGUAAUUUUACCAAGGCUUAUGAUGUAAAAGAUGGGUGGCUUUUCUGAAGUAGCUGAGGUCUCUACAGAUUAGUGAAACCAAGCUAAUGAAAGUGCAGGCACUGACCCAACAUUUCAGUGUUCCGAGUACCACCUAGUUUUUUCGUGAAGAGUUUGUAAAUGAAUUAAUAAUAAUGUUCCAUUAACUUUUGUUCCAUUUACUUUGGUUCCAUUGACGGUAGAGAGGACCUUUGGAUUAAUAACAACAAAUUGAAAAUGUUCGAGUGGAAAAUUAGGUGUACUAUUUAAUUAGGUGGAAAAUGUUUCUCAAAUUAAUGAUUAAAAAAAAUUAUUGUAUCUUAUAUUUUGGAUGAUGGUUUCACAAUUUCUUUGGGAGAGAUUCAGCAUUCAAUUUGCAAUUGAUAUUUGGCAUGAGUUGUAAAUAAAGCAGUCCAACUAAAGUUCAAAUUUAUUAGUUGCUAAAAUCUAAUUUCUAUUAAAAAAAUUAUUGAUGUUUUUAUUAAGGAAAAAGGGCUAUGGAAUGUAAUAUUUUUUUUUAAUUUUUUAAAAGAAAUUUUAUUCAUUGGCUGUAUACGCAUAAUUAUAAGUGGCGUUUAUCAAUCACAUAUAGCGCGAUAAGGCGCCGGUGCCCACAAUUAUGACGUGGAAACGAAUUGACGGCCACAUAUUUUUAGAAAGCUCCAACAAUCUUGGCACUUACUUGCUAUUUUAACAUCUUCAGGCCUGUCUUGUAUCCAAUCUUGGCACUUACAUGCAGCAUUGUGCGGUUCAGCUUUUCCAGAACGUUAAUUUUCACAAUAUCUUGUAUGAAUUUUGCCUCAUGUCCACACAAAGGAAAAAAAAAAAAACAAUUAGAAAACAUGUAAAAAGAAAUGGUUUGUCACUGCUUCAUUGCUCUUCUUUAUCUCUUUUGUCACUACUUGAUUUCUUAUCCCAUUUGUCUUGUAGUUUUCCAUUUCUGGAUAGUUAAAGGAAAAUACAAACUACGAAGGAUAGUUUUUAUUAAAAUCUAAAAUAUUAUGCACGUGGCUAUGUUUAUUUAUUUUUUAAGAUUGUAUUUUUUUUUUUUUUGUCAAAGGAAGACAUAAAAUAGUUAACCAAACUAGUGUUAUUAAACUCGGCCUGGCCCGACGGGUCGACCCGGUGGUUGGACCGGUCCAGGUUUAAUAAAAGACCGGCUGUGGCAACAGCCCGGCCAAACCCGGGCGACUCGGCCAAACCCGGACGAGACCCGGUUUUUUUGUUUUUUUUUUUUCAAAUGUGAGAUUUGAAACCCAUUAGUAUAUAUACUCUAUGUUUCCAAGAAAAAAGUCAUAUUUUUUCAAUGUGGGAUAAAAAAACCUUUUAGUUUAAAUACUUCAACUUAAAAAGAUAACAUAGUAUCUUUUCAACGUGAGAUUUGAAGCCCUUUUUGUAUAUAUACUCUAUGUUCCCAAGAAAAAAAUCAUGUUUCUUCAAUGUGGGAUAAAAAACCUUUUAGUUUAAAUAUUUCAACUUAAAAGGAUAACAUAUUAUCUUUUCAAUGUGGGAUUUGAAGCCCUUUCGUAUAUAUACUUUAUGCUCCCAUGAAAAAAAUGAUGUUUUUUCAAUGUGAGAUUUGAAACCCAUUAGUAUAUAUAUUCUAUGUUUCUAAGAAAAAAAUCAUAUUUUUUCAAUGUGGGAUAAAAAAUCUUUUGGUUUAAAUACUUCAACUUAAAAGGAUAACAUGGUAUCUUUUCAAUGUGGGAUUUGAAGCCCUUUAGUAUAUAAACUCUAUGUUCCCAAGAAAAAAAUUCAUGUUUUUUCAAUGUGGGAUAAAAAAACCUUUUAGUUUAAAUACUUCAACUUAAAAGGAUAACAUAGUAUCUUCUCAAUGUGAGAUUUGAAGCCCUUUCGUAUAUAUACUCUAUGCUCUCAUGAAAGAAGUUAUGUUUUUUCAAUAUGGAAUUUGAAACCUAUUAGUAUAUAUACUCUAUGUUCCCAAGAAAAAAGUUAUGUUUUUUCAAUGUGGGAUAAAAAACUUUUUUGGUUUAAAUAUUUCAACUUAAAAGUUUAACAUAAUAUCUUUUUAAUGUGGGAUAAAAAACUUUUUAAAAUAUUCUUUUAAACUUCAUUGUUUACAAUAUGUAUAACCUAUAUUUACAUGGAUUUUUUCAUAUGAAAUAUUAAAACUUUAUUUUUAAAAAAAUUUUCAGGUUGAUCCGGGUCGACCCGAGUUGACCCAUGAAACCCGGGACCCGGCCCCUUGUCGGGUCAACCCCCGGGCCGGGUUUAAUAACUAUGAACCAAACUAUGAAAUGUUGUAAAACUUCCUCUAUGUUAUUAUUUUUUCGUGAUAUCGAAUUAAGAAAACCAAUCCAAGAUGAAAACAACUCCAAGCCCCUGCAAGAAACACAAAAAUUAACCACACCAGAAACCGGGCAAGGAGAUGGCAAGUGGGGUGUGUAUUUAAUGACCACUGGCUCUCAGCUAACCAAUCCAAAAAAAGGAUUUAUGGUUUGUAUGUGAGGUUGGAUAGUGGUUUGUUAGUUGUUAAAAUAUUUUGAUGUAUAAUUUUUGGGUUAGUUUUUUUUUUUAAAAAAAGAAAAUACAUCUCAGAAAUAUUUGACUAAAAAGUAUGGACAUGUUUAUAUGUUUGGAAUACAUUGUAUAUAAAAUACUUGAUUCAAAAAUAUAUUUUUUGGAUAUAGAAUUUAAUUCUUUUUUUUGUUUUUGAAUGUUGAUAUUGGAAACAAUUUUUUUUAGCUAAUUGUUUACAAGUAAUUUGUUGAUGGUAAUAUUAAUGGAGUAUUUACUGAAAAACAUUCCAAGUUAAUUUGAUUAGAGGGCUUUGCUAUAGAUAUUUUAAAGAUUUUCAGGGGGAGGAAUUUGAAAUGCCGAGUUUUUGUUUUUUAAUACCAUUUCCUUUCAAAAUUUUCCGGAAUUAAAUAUAUUUUUCUUAAUUAGAUACAUAUAUUUUCUGUUUAAUUUUAUUAAUAAUAACAUAAAUAUUUUAAGAAUUUUGCCAAGUAUUUGUUUACUGCUAUUUCCUUCUAAACUGAGAGGAAUUGAAUGAGAAAUUUUAUGGUGAACAAGUUGUAAUUAGUGAUAUAAUAUUAGUUAUUUAUUGUGAUCCACUUUAUAGAAAUAAAUAGAUACAUGUAGGAGAAAGAAAUACUAGUUGAAGAUAUUCUUAUUAUUUUUGGUGAGUUGUGAAUUUUAUACUCUCUCACUUGUAUCCAUUUCUUUCUUAAAAAAAAUUCAUUGAUUAAUUAAUAGAAUGUCAUUUGUUACAACUUGACUACCAUAAAGUUUUUCAAAAUGAAAUAUGCCAAAAAAUCAAUUUUCUUUUUUUAGAUACAUAUAUUUUCUAUAUUAAAUUGACUAGCUAAUAUUUAACUUUAUUAAUAAUAAUAAAAAUGUUUAUGGAAAUUGAUGUACAUGUAUUUGAUAGGAUUUAAACUUGGAGAAUUUAAUCUAGUACUAAAAUAAUUUAAUAUACUAUUUCAUUUGAUAGUUAUAAUUUUAUAAAGUUAAAUUUAUUAUUUUAUGUAUUUGAAUAUAUUAUUUUUUAAUACAUGUUAAUACGAAUGUUUAUACUAAAACAAAUAAAUAUCUUAUAAUUAAUUAACCAAAACUAAGACCGAAAAACAACAUAUGAGUGAAAACAUUAUUUACUAGAAUAAUGUUUUUAUCAUUUUUUUCUUCCGAAUAAAAUAUGUUGAACUUGUUAUUGGGGUAAGAUGGUCAUUUUAUAAGGACUCAGUGGUCAUUAUUUAUUUAUAUAGGGACAUAUUGGUCUUUACAUUUUAAAAAUAAACAAUUAAAUGAUUGUAUUACCCUUAAAGUCAAAUAAAAAAUAACUUAUAUGGAAGAGGUUUUUUUUUUUUAAUCAUUUCCAAUUACCAUGCACAAUAAAUUACUCCACUACCCUUUGAACCAAAAUUUUUAAAACUAUCAUCGAGGGACUCGUUGGACUUUUUACCUUGUAUUUUUUUUUUUGUAAUGACCAAUGUAAAUGAUGGUGAGUUUGGUCUUUUUUGUGUAUUAAAAAUAAUUUAAAAAAAGCUAUCACUUGAAAAUUACGCACUAGUGUAUGUGAGGGAGGAUAGUCGCGUUCAAAUGGCGUGUGUGUCCUCCUCUGUUAGCCAAAAAUGAUUGACCACCGUGACGUAGAACUACCAAGUGGAGGAGUUUCUAAUGAGGUGACACAUCCAUGGUGGUUCGCAGCAGUUAGGCGGUUAUGUGACUUUUUCUUUCCCCCUCUCUUUUCUUUCUCAUAUUCUGGAGAUUCGCACUGACCCAACCAUAUUUAAAAGGAGUCCUUCUAUUUGUUUUGUAUUUCAAUUAUAGUUAUCAUGCUCUUUAUUUGUUUUAAAUCUUUAUUAUUUUUUGCAUUUUUCUUUCCAGUCUAAUCCAUUGGCAAAAUUCAAAGGUGUCCUCUUAUUUUCUAUUUAUUUUAAAUUAUAGCUCUCAUUCUUUUAAUUACUCCUUUUUUAUUUUAAGUUUUUUUUUCUAUUCGAUUCAUCCCUUGACAUCGCAAGUUUACCAUGCUAACUAGAAUUGGUUUGGGGCUUUGAAAUUAUUUUAAUUUUAUUUUUAUGUAAUUUAAUUUUCAUGCUUACAAAAAAAAAUGCACCUCCUUUAAUUUUAUUCUUUUGUUCUUUUUGAAAAAUAAAAUUAAGUCAGCCAACGCUAGCGUGUUUAGGUUCUCGUAUGCUCGUGCCUCUUUUUUUUUUUGGUUCAUUGGUUUUGUUUUGUCCUUUUUUUAUUUUUUUUCUUUCCGAUUUCAUCUAUCGAUUUUAUUUUUCUGUUGAUUUUUUGUUAGCUUUUUUAGUAAAAUUUAAACAAUUCUUUUGUAUUUUUUAUGGUGUUUUCUAAUUAGAAUAUUAUUUAAUUUAGUGUAUGGCCUAUUUUAUUUUAUUUUUUAAAAAUUUGAUGUGCUUUCAACCCCUUAAAAUUAAAAAAAAAACUAAUUUUUUCAUUUUUUUCUUUUUCUUUUCUAAGUUUUUUCUCUUAUUUCACUUGAGAUAUAAAACCCUCUUUUUGUUAUCAAACUUUUUUUAAAAAAUACAAAAAUAGAGUUUUUUAUUAUUAUUUCAAGUCCACACACCAUCCUUAUUGUUUUUUGGAAAAAAGAAAAUUACGUGUUUAGAUGAAAAGUAUCCUUUAAAUUGUUUUUUAAAAAAACAAUUCUAAAAUCUAAUGGGGUUUAGGACUUGGAUCUUACGUUUAUCAUGUUAAUUCCAUUUUACUUUUUUUUUUUUCAUUUAAAUUUUUUUAUUUUUAAUUUUUCCCAUCAACCUUUUUUUCUUUGUUUGUUAUAAAAAAAAAGGUUUAUAAGCUCUCAUAAUCUCAUAUUCGAUAUCCCUUUUUUAAAAGAAAAAUUUCUCGGGUUUUUUGUGGUCAUAUUUUUUUAAUUUGAUCCAUUUAUUAUCAUUAUCUAUUUUUUAUUGUCUCAUUAAAAUAAAAAUAACUUAUUUGAUGCAGUUAGAUCUAUAAUCCAAAUUACAAAAGUUUCUUUUUUUUCUUUUAAAAAAAUAUAGUUUUAGUAUCUAAAAAUUAUUAAAAAAAAAACCUGAUGACAUAGACGGAUCCACAACUAAUUAAUUUAGAUAUUGUUUAAGUGUUAAUGGUAUAUAUAAUAGCAAAAUAUUGGUUUGCAUUCCUAGUGAGCAUAUUUUUAUUUUUCAUCUAAUACAAAUAUUGCAUUCUUAACUAUCACAUUUUUAGAGCAUAUUUAAGUAUAUGUACAUCUUCAGUGGGUUAAGCUAUAUUUUCAUUUCUUUCCUUUUUGUUUUUUUUUAUUAAUUUAAUUUUAAAUUUCAUAUUAUAGGGCGGACACGUAUUCUCAUAAGUUUUAUCAGUUAUUCAAUGGAAGUCAAAACAUAGUUGGACUUUACCCCAUAUACUAAAACAUCUUGGAUAUGCAUUAUUCAUUACAUUGUUUAUAUGAACAGUGUAAUUUUUUUUUUAUCAUCAAUUUUUUUUAAUUAUAAUUUUAUCCUCACAAGUUACAUUAUAUAUAUAGUUUUAUAUGUUGAGAUUUAGAGUUGAAAAAAAAAUUUGAACAACCGAUUACAAGACAGUCCAUUCCACGACCAACCAUAUAUAACUACCAGUCAUUCUUAUACCAUCUCUUUCCCUCCGUAUAAUUGUAUUAUUUAUUUAUUUUUAUAUAUUUUUUACAAAACAUAAAUCAAUUAUACCAAAACAAAAGUAAAUAACAAAGGCACUUUAUACAUAAAAAAAAAAAACACAAAGAUAUCCUUUUACAGAAAGAAUAACAAUCCAUUAUGUUUGUAAAAACAGAUUGAAGAUUGAGUUCAUAAAGGUACUUCAAAUGGCAAAUCAUAACUGAUUUUGAUUACAUAAACAACAAAUACAGAGCAAGAGAUUAAAAAAAUAGUCAUCAUAUAAGGAUACAUUAAUUUUAUUUUAUUUUUAUUUUAUAAGUUUUUUACUUUCUUUGAUUUGACAAAAUAUAACCUUAGUUGGCAGUAAAUUUCAUAUAUCAUUUUAUAUUGUCAUGGAUUCUUUUAUAGAAUUUUAAAGAAUGUCAUACUUGAUUUAUAUUAGUAAUAAAGCCUUAACUGGUCCAAAUUCUGAUUAUAUAAACUAAUCAUAAAUUAUCUUUUCUAUUUGCAGUCCUAGCCACCAUCUUACUGGUUAUUGUACAUCUUCAAUACAUCUUUACUUUCGUAAUAAAUAAAUAAAUAAAUAAAUUUUAAUUCAUUUAUGAAUCCAACUUCAUUGGUUUGGAGUAUAAAUAUAAAACUCAGCCCGACCCGGUAGGUUAACUCUAGACCUGGACGACUCGGGGCCUUGGCUAGGUUUCAAAUGGUCAAAACUCAUGCUUGCAAUUAACAUGGUCAAACCUAGAUAACCUACCGACUCAACUUGAAACCCGGGUGACCCGACAUAACCAAAGUGAGACCUGACCUCUUUUUUUAAUAAACCUAAAAAAUAUAAAAUUAAUUUGUGAAUAGUUAGCCUCAUAUAUUUUUUUACAGCAUACAUUCCCAUGAAAUAUUUCUUAACUUUUUUAUUUUUCAUGUGGGAUAAUUAAUUAUAUUUAUAGUCUACAUUCACAUGGAAAAAUUUAGAUAGAUAUAUAUAUAUAUAUCAGUUAUUAAUUAUUUUUUUAUGGAAUAGCUAUAUAUAUAGACUACAUAUACAUGAAGUGUUUCUUAACUUUUCCACAUGGAAUAGCUAUAUAUAACUUAUAUUCACAUAAAAUAUAUUUUAAUUUUUUUUAUGUGGGAUAUUAAAACCUCAAAAUGUUUUUUAAAUUUUUUUCUCAAUUGACCAGAUCAACCCAUGUAACUUGAAAUCUAUCCUCUUAAUUAAGUCAAUCCAUGAGACAGGUUUAAUAAAUAUGGUUUGAAGAGAACUUAGUUAAGAAAUGGAAAGGUUAUUCAUUUGAAAAACUAAUAGUUCAGGGAUUGAUGGAGUUUUGAGAUACAACACCAGUACUCACUUCUCAUAUUUAUUCAAAUGAAGUCAAAGUUCUUGCAAUCAAAAGACAUUUCUAGCACAAUCGUUCGAUUAGUAGACGAUAUUGGAAUCAAAUAUUAUAAGAUUUUAAUUUUAAUUUUUAUUGACAAAAAAUCUUAAUCAUAAGAACCUUAAUUUUUAUUUUUAUUACUCAAUAUAUCUAUAAUUAAUACUGAAUAUUACAACUCUUUGGUUGCUUAUAUAAUAUAAAAACAUCAUAAAUAAAGCUAAAAGAAUUCUAAACUAAAUAUUAAGUAUGAAAAGAAAGAAGUUUUAAUCUAUACAUUUGGGUAUGUAUGUUAGGAUUGAAAUCCUCUUGUCCCACUCCCAAUAUAAUCAAGUCAUGCAACACGCAAUCAGUUUAGAAAUUUGUUGAGACCUUAAUUGGUAAUGUAGAGAGGGAAAAAGCCGAAGUGAGUCAAAGAAAGACAAGCCUACCAUGUUUACAUAUGGGACUUCGCAGAUAUAAAUAUAAAAGUAAAGUUCUUUUGGUUUAUGUACUUUCAUAUGUAUCCUUCUUUUGAUUUCAAUGGCAAGAGUAUCUCCGAAUAGACUUCCAUACAUUAAGAAUAAAUCUCUCUAUGAAUGGAUUUUACGUAUGAUAUCCACAUGAUUAAGGAAUUAAGUAAUUGUUAUUGUCUUCUUGAGGCGAAUUCCCUUCUAGCAGGCAUCAUUAUGAAUUCAUUAAUUAAAAUCAUAACAACUUUCGGAAUGCGUAAAUGCAAAUUUUAUUGGAAUUAUAUUGUGAAAGGCUAUGAAAAGACAUAAAAUAUGUCUUUCAAUUGUUCUUACAGUCACAAUAUCUUAUUCUCUGACUGCUUAUUAGACAAUCGUCUUCUCCAUCAGAGCUGGGCAUGAUUGAUAUCGUAAGCAUCAGAAUCAUCAAGCUUCAGCUUAACUAGUUCGCUGAUAUCAUAUGGAUAAGCGUCCUUUGGUGACUGACGUUUAUAUGCUCUUUUUCCAAAGGCCCAAGCUUUAGCUUCAGUAAAAUGGGCUCCAUCCCAGUACACAUAGUCACUCCUGUUGCUACAUGGGAAGGAGAGAGAUUUACAUGGGACUGAACCAGAUUCUACAUCGCAACAGCUCUUACGGGUUUGUGUAAAACCUGCAACCAAGAAAAAAUAACAUGGGCAUCAGAGGCGUAACAAAAAUGUCGCCUUCAACCGUGAGAGAAAGAGAGCAAGGGAGGGAGGGGAUUCGUACCUGUAUUUGUCUGAUCAUCAGAAUCAAUUUCGUAAGAGUUUAUGUAGGUAAACACAGCAUCAGUAUGCCUCUUAUUAAGUUUUCUGAGCAGUUCUUGAAGCUUGUGGUUGAAAAUUUGAACAUCGUCAUUGAGCUUGUAUGCACAUGAAGAUGCAUCUAGUUCAUUGGGAUUUUUUUGUAUGUUGGACGGCAUACAUCCUACCCGAAUAAGUCCGAGCACAGCUAUCUUUCUUGCUCCUGAGCAAUACAUUUUCUGGCAGCAAGGAAAAAAAAACGGAAUGAAGUGGGGCUAAUCUCCAGCUGAGUUUCAUAAGUUUCCAUUAAGGUCUUUGUUAGUUUCCAAUCACGUCAAACAUUAAUUGUUGUUUUACAAGAGACAUUAUGUAGGGCUAACCUCCAGCUGAGUUUCAUAAGUUUCAAUGAGAAGUUGAGCAUAUUCUUCAGGAGUAUAUUUCAAGCUGCUAUCGUAGCCAUCCAAGAAAUAAUUGUUGAGGUAGUCGUUAUGACCCAUAUCAGACACAUAGAUGCAUUGGCUUAAGUACUUCCUAGCAACUUCCUCGCUUCCCAAGAUCUUGGCAAUUCGUGAAACCGUGAUAUUGUGAUUGUAUAACUGAAUAUUCAUGGUAAAUAGUUCACAUACACAAAAGAGUUAUAUGAAUAGUUAGCGUUGCCAAAGCAUACAAGAUGACGAAAAAAUCAUACGGAAUAAUACAAGGUUUUAGUUAUGAGAGGCAUAUGAUCAGUAAUCACCACAAGAGAGCCAGUAGAAUCAAGGAUGCCAGCUCCAUUAGAUCCAUAAUUUACACCAUCUAGAAAAUUAGUGCAACCUCCGACACCAAAGUCCGAAAUGUAACUGUCGAAACCUAAUUGUUCAGCUGAAAAAAAAAAUAUAUAUAUAUUAACAUCGGUUAAGACAAGUCAUCUUUCAGCAACAAAAAUAUUAGUACCAGACUUGGCAAGAUUUCUAAUUGUAAUUUAAUACAACUGUCACAACUAUCUAGUUAGAACAUAUUUAUUUUCCAUUAAAGAAAACUAACACACUAUAUUUUGUAUUAUAAGAGAGGAGAGAGAACUGCAGACCAAUGGUGUCAGCUAUGUUAAGACCGUUGCUGCACCUUCCUGAAUCCCCAGUGUCAAAGUCUAUCCCAUAAGGUAGGUAAUUAACUUUAGCUGAAAGGUUAAGGUAGUUAUUGUUUCCGUUAUCAAAGAGAGAAUCUCCAAAGACGAAGUAGCAAGGAACUUGAGGUACGGCCUUUCCAUAAGUCCAGUGUUGCCAGUUUGACACCAGCAACACCACAGACAACACCCACAAUGCCUUAAGCCCACUUUCCAUU
rnacentral:lncRNA from 1 species